rnacentral:lncRNA from 1 species
GAGAUAAAACUCAUCCUCCUAAACGUAGCAGUCUUGCACUGAUCAUCCUGGAAUGAGCUAUAUAUUAAUUUUCAGUGAUUUCACAACCAUUUAACAAUAACUUGUUAUUACCCAUUAAACUUUUAAACUAGUGAUGUUCUAGACAAAGUUGGGUUACUAUUAUUGGUGGCUAAUUUCAGUAAAGGGUUUUAGCCUCAUUCCACUAGAUGUACUAACUACCAAAGCUCUUGAAAGUGCUUUCGUUAACGGAUCCGCCAAGUUAUUACUUGAUUUAACAUAAACAAUAUUAAUAACUCCAUCAAUUAUUAAUUGCUUGACAUAUUCAUGUCUCAAGCUAAUAUGUCUAGACUUUCCAUUGUAUACCUUAUUGUAUGCUCUAGACAAAGUAGCCUCACUAUCACAGUAUAAAGAAAUGGAUGGCAUUGGUUGUGGCCACAACUCUAUUUCCAAUAACAAAUUUCUAAUUCAUUCCGCUUCUUUACCUGCUGCCGCUAAUGCUAUAAAUUCAGAUUCCAUAGUUGAAUGUGCUAUACAUGUUUGCUUCUUCGAAGCCCAAGAAAUUGCUCAUCCGUCAAUUGUAAAAAUCCACCCUGAUGUGGACUUAUUAUCAUUAGCACUUGUUAUCCAAUUUGCAUCUGAAUAUCAUUCAAGUACUGCUGGAAACUCAUAAUAAGUUAAACUCAUAUUAAUAGUUCUUUUAAGAUAACCAAAAAUUUUAUUUAUUGCUUUCCAAUGAGCAGUACACGGAUGAAUAGUGUAUCUAUAAAGUUUGCAUACUGCAAAUGCAAUAUUUGGCCUGGUACAAUGCAUGGCAUAUAUUAAACUUCCGAUUACACUAGCAUACUCAAGCUGUGCAACAGACCUACCAGAAUUAUUAAGCAAAGUUUCACUAGGGUCAUAAGGGGUAGUUGAUUCUUUGAUUUGUAGAUGCUUAAACUUAAGAAGCAAUUCUUCUAUAUAAUGUGACUGACACAAAUCGUAACCCCUACUAUGCUUAUUUACUUUAAUUCCCAAUAUAGUAUCUACUUCAUUCAAAUCCUUCAUCUUGAAUUUUGAAUUUAGAUACUCUUUAGUUUCAAAUACACCUUUGAUGUUUGUACAAAAAAUUAGCAAGUCGUCGACAUAUAAACAUAUAACAACACCAUAAUCAUUUGUGAAUUUAGAGUAUAUGCAUUUAUCAGCACUAUUAUGUCUAAAUCCAUAUGAUAAAAUGACAAAUCAAACUUUUCAUGUCAUUAUUUUGUUGCUUGCUUCAAUCCAUAUAACGACUUUACUAAUUUACAAACCUUCUUUUCAUUCCCAGAGAGAACAAACCCUUCCGGUUAUUCCAUAUAGACUUUUUCAUCUAAAUCACCAUUUAAAAAUGCAGUUUUCACAUCCAUUUGAUGCACAUGCAAAUUAUAGAAAGAUGCCAAUGCAAACACUAUUCUAAUUGAUGUUAGCCUAGCUACUGGUGCAUAUGUAUCGAAAUAGUCUAUUCCUUUUUUCUGCUUAAAACCCUUGGCAACCAGUCUGGCUUUAAAUGUCUGAAUAAACCCGUCUGUAUUGUAUUUUCUUCUAAAUACCCACUUACAACCUAUUGCUUUUGAUCAUUGGGGCAAGUCUACUAAAACUCAUGUCUGAUUAAAUAUUAAUGAUUCAAAUUCAUCAUCUAUAGCCUAUUUCCAAAAAGCUGCAUUUCUUGAAGUCAUUGCUUCGCUUAGACUUUUAGGAUCAUCUUCAACAUUCAACAAUAUGGGUAUUUUUUUAAGAAUCUUUGUUCUAUUUCCUUCAACUAAAAAUACAAUAGAUUGAGAUGAAAUAAAAUCAGGGCCUAUAAUCUUUUCUUUUCUUACUAUUUGGCUUUUCCUUGGUUCAUUAAUAGUUUCAGACUGUUUUCUUUUCUCACAUUGAGAAUGACUACUAGCCGGAUUAGAGAAAAGUGUUUGAUCAUUCUCUUUUCCAGACAUUGAGUAGUCGUUAUAGAAUUUAUUUUCUAUAAAUUCGACAUCUCUAGACUCAACUAUUGUAUUUGAGUCUAAAUCAAGCAACCUAUAUGCCUUUGAAUUUUCUGCAUAUUCUACAAAUAUGCUUUUAAUUCCUCUUGGACCCAACUUGGAUCUCUUAGGAUCGAGUGCCUUAUAAAAAGCUACACAACCCCAUACUCUCAAAUAUGACAAAUUUGGUUUUCUUCAUUUCCAAAUUUCAUAUGGUGACACAUGUGUCUUUGUAGAUGUAAUUCUAUUGUGUAUAUGACAUGCAGUAAACAAUAUUUCACCCCAUAAAUAUUUUGGAGUAUUAGCAUUAAUCAUCAUAGAAUUAAUCAUUUCACUGAGUGUCCUAAUUUUUCUUUCUCAUUUCAGUGAGUGUCCUAUUUUUUCUUUCUACCAAACCAUUUUGUUGUGGUGUAUAAGGUGCAGUUCUUUGAUGUAUAAUAUCAUGCUCUUCACAAAAAAUAUCAAAUUCAUUUGAAAAAUAUUCACCACCUCUAUCACUACGAAGGCAUUUAAUUUUCCUUCCUUUUUGGUUUUCAACUUCAGCUUUAUAGUGCUUAAAACACUCAAAAGUUUCAUCUUUAUUACACAAUAAAUAAACAUAAGUGAACUUAGAAUAAUCAUCUAUAAAUGUGAUAAAAUAUCGUUUUCCUCCUCUUGUUAAAACACCAUUGAAUUCACAUAUGUCAGAAUGUAUUAAGUCUAAUAAAUUUGUAUUUCUUUCGGCAGUUGGAAAAUGUUUCUUAGUCAUUUUCGCUUAAAUACAUGUUUCACAUUUAUCAUUAUAAUCAUCAUUGCAAGCAAUUAAACCAAGUGUGCGCAUGUAUUUUAAAGAUCUAAAAUUUAUAUGUGCUAAACGUAAAUGCUAUAAAUGAGAGGAAUAUUCAACAAUAUAAGCAGAAGAAUUCCCUUUAUUAUUAAUACUUAGUUUGAACAUCCCAUCACAAAAAUACUCAUUCCCAACAAACAUCCCAUUUUGCGACAUUAUUAACUUGUCGGUCUCUAUAACAGUCUUUAUACCGUUCUUACAUAAUAAAUUUGCAGACACAAGAUUCUUUCUAAUUUCUGGAACAUGUAGUAUAUUAAGCAACGUCAAUUUCUUCCUAUAAGUAAAUUGAAGUUCAACGGUUCAUUUUCCUAAAACUUUGACGAAAUUAUGAUUCUCCAUUAAAACUUAUUGAUUGUCCGUUGAUGCUUCAUAUGUCUUGAAUUGUGCCUUGUCAUUGCACACAUGUAUAGUAGCCCCUAAGUCGAGCCACCAAUCAGAGGAUUUUAUUGCUGCUACCAUAUUCAGUUCGGUAAUCAUACCAAUAUGCAUCAUUGAUACCAUUGCAACAAUGUUAUCAAUUUCAGAGUUUUCCACCAUAUUUGCGCUAUUGGACUUAUUGGCAUAUUCCUCACUUGCUUUCCUGUGUCUACAAUCACGAAUGUAAUGACCUUUCUUUCCACAAUGGUAGCAUACAUCAUUUGCAUUCUUUUGAUUGUUGUUGGAAUUGGUCUUUUUAAACUUCCCUUUGUCAAUUUUGACUUUGAAGUUCUUUUUAUAUUUGUUUCCUUCGACAAUGUGAACUUUAGAGAAAUCUUGAUUUGUAAAAUUCUUAUCACGAUUUCGAGUUUCCUCUUCAAUUUGAAUGCCCUUUUGCAAAUUCUCCAAAGUAAUAUCUUCCACAAUGUGUAGAAGUUUCUUUCUAUAGUUAUUCCAUGUUUAGGAUAAUUUUGCCAUAAUAGCCCCAACUAUCAUAUGAUCCGAAAUAACUAUUUUAAGUUCACGAAACUUUGAGACCAAUACCAAUAAUUCAUGAACUUGAUCUAGGAUGGGUUUGUUAUCAAACAUAGUGAAUUAAUAAUAUUUGAAUAUUAAAAAUUUAUCAAUACUUUUUUUUUCCGUUGUGUACUUGUGUUCAAGUGCUUCCUAAAUUUCCUCUGGAAAUUGAAUAUGUGCAUACAAGUCAUAUAAACGAUCAGAUAAUGUGCCCAAGAUGUGUCCUCGACAUACCAAUUCAUCUUCUUCAUGCUUCUUUCUAUCGGCAACUAUAUUGUCCGAGUCUUUGUCACUUGGUUCACAAAUAGGCUCCAAUUUCGGGUCCAACACAUAUAUGACAUUUAGAACAGUAAGCAUGAAACGCAUCUUGUCCUUCCAUCGGGUGAAAUUUGAUCCAUCAAAUUUGUCAAACUUGUAGACAUCUUGAUUGAUAAUCUUCAAAUCUAUGUUAUCAGAUUUGUUAUCCAUGACGAAAAUAACACUUUAAGAUUGGUAGAGUAAAUAUAGAAAUAUAGAGAAUAAUCCGAAUGAUGACUUUGGGGUACGACUUGAAUCGUUUCCUUAAAGUGUUAUUUGCCUCCACUCGAAUGAGUUUGCUAAAGAGUUCUUGGCAAAUCACUUUCAGGAUAUAACAAAGCAUGGAAUAUUCGAUUAGCAAAACCGAAUUGUAUUCUCUUAUAAAUAACUAGAAAGAAAUUGUAUGAAUAUGAUGAGGAGAGAAAGGAGAGCAAAGAAAUUAUGUAGACAAUAAAUUUCUGAAAUUGUGUAUGAAAAUUAUGCCACGAUAGGUAUUUAUAGGCAUUAAGGCACAUGUUCAUCAAGUCCUUUCAUUUUAAUUGAAGAUAUACAACUCUUCUUAAAAGUGUUGAUCUAAAAGACAUGUAUUCUAUUUAAAAUUUUCAGAAAAUAAAUAUUGACUAAUUAUAUCUUUUAAUUUUACUCAUACAAUUUGAGUAAGCAUCAUAUAUUUUAACCAAAAAUUGUAACCAUUCAACAAGAUGUACAAAGGUUGAAAUCCAACAUUUCUGCCUGUAGGCUUGCUGUGCAUCGCAGCUGCCUUUCCCUAUUAUACAUACAGAUAUGCUGCACAAUACAGCACCAAGUCUAAUAUAUAUAUAUAUAUAUAUAUAUAUUUUAUUAUUGAAAUCUUUAACAAACCAUUGGCUCGUCUGUGUAGCAUGGUCAAUCAGGUCUCUAGAUUAUAAAAUAAAAAAUAAAAUAGGAUACUUGAGAGUGAACUGCAUUUUACAUAGGUUUAUUUUAACUAUAAAAACACCUAAUAGACUUUAUGGCAAAUAGACUUCAAACUUAUUUGCGAUAAAAUGCAUUUUACGUAGGUUUAUUUUAAAGAAUUUUAACGAAAAACUUUCGGUAUUGUUUAUUUUAAGGAAAAAUCAUAUUUUUACACUAAAAAGUCAAUUCUUGUACUAUUCAUUUUACCUUUUAUUUUGUCCUUAUCGUUAAAACUCAAAGUUUUCAAGCUAUAUUUAUUAGUUUUCCUUUUAUUUUAACUAUAAAAACACCUAAUAGACUUUAUGGAAAAUAGAUUUCAAACUUAUUUGCAAUAAAAUCUAUUAGGUGUUUCUAUAUAUAAAAAAAAAAGUUUGUGAUGUCAUUUUUAUUAAUUUUCUAUCUUUCAUAAUUUAUUCAAUGCAAAUAUUUAAAAAUCACUUCUCAUAGUGAAAUCGGACGAUGAAAAAUUCAUCAUCGAUUCUCCACACAACAAAAAAAAAAAAGAUGAAUUUUACAUAUUUAAGAUGAAGAGCACUUUAAUUCGUAGUUAUAUAUUCAAAAGGCAUAUGGAAAGGUGGUUUUCUUUGCUAUAUUGGUGGAAAAGUAAAGAAUAAAGAAGAAGAAAAAUAGUCCACAAUAUCUUGAUGAAGUGUUUUAGUAUUGUCGCCUGAUGUUACAGUUUGAUUGUGAAUGUAAUAUUCGACAAAGCUAUAGGAGAUGAGUUUUAUUGCUGAUACAUUGCCCAACCUGAGUCUCUCUAACAAGCUCAAUAUUUUUAUAAGCAAUUAUCAUUAUCUAAUAUUUAUGAAGUCCCUAAACCUCUUGACAUUAUUUUGUAGUUUCUCUUUGCACCUUUGUUUAACAAAAAAAAUAAACUGUGUACACUAUCAGUUGGAUAUUCGGGAGUCAAAAACUCGUUUAAUUUUAUAAAAGCAUUUUGAAUUAUUUGAUUUAUUAGAUCUUGAAUUUUAAUGAAUUAUGUGAUUUAUUAGUUUCACCUCAUUCUGUCGCAUCUCCUCAGAGAAACUCUGCUCCACCUGUAAACUUAGCGGAGAAAUGACAGAACCUCUAGUUUCGGGCAUAAAUCCUAACAAACUUAGACCACAGGGGUUUAAAUCCGAAUUUUUUUUACCACAUGGACUAUCUUCCGAAUACCUUAUGACCACAGAGACUAUUUAUCCGAUUUUACCAACCUAAACCUAAUGAAGGAAUGACAAAAGGGCAUAAAUCCUAACAGACUUAGACCACAGGGGUUUAAAUCCUAACAUACUGUGACCACAGGGGUUUAAAUCCGAAUUUUUUUACCACAGAGGCUAUCAUCCGAAUACUUUAUGAUCACAGGAACCAUUUAUCCGAUUAGGCUACCUACAAUUUGCAUCAAGAUUUCAAUCAAGUCCCUUCAAUUGAUGGCAGCGGCGCAAGUAAUAAUAUAAAAUGUAGAAUUUGCAGCCAUUGUACUUGUGCAGGUUAAUUAACCAACUUGUUCUCUAGGUAAUAAAUGGGGAAGGAGAUAUUACGAAAAGAACAAGACUUGAAAAGUGUUUGUAGCUGAAUAAGCACUCAUGUAGUUUCAAAAUGAUUAAAAACGUUUGUGGUAAAAAUAUUUUUUAUACUAAUUCUUAGUAAAAAAGUUCAAGUGGAUUUUAUGAAAACACUUUGAAGUAUUUUUUUUUGCAAGAAGCACAUAUUUAGUGUUUCUAAAACACUUAAAUUACUUUUAGAAUUCAAAAUUAAUUUUAUCAAUAUCAUUUUCAAUUAUUUUAAAAAUACUACAAAACGAGCUCUUAGUUAGCAAUCACCCUUAUAUUUGAGGACUCAUGUUUUGUGAUUGAAUACCUCAUCCCUCAAAAUUGCAUGUAUAAAAAAAAGAUAUAAAAAAUAAUAAUACAUUAGUUAGGUCCAUAUAAUCGUCAUUAAAAAAUUUCACCUUUUACAAGAAUAUUUUUCUUUCUAAUUAUAAAACGUUUGGAGUGCACAAUUAAAUUUUGAAGUGUCGAUAACAAUUUUUUUAUAUAUAAUAUGUUAGAGAAAAUUGUAGCAAUAGUCCUUUAAUUUUAACCCAAUUAGAGCAAUAGUCCCUCAAUUAAAAAUCCACAGUCAUUGAUUCCUUAACUCAUCAAAACGUGCAGCUACGGUCAUUUUCGUUAAUUCAGUCAAAAUGAGUCAUGUUGGAAUGACCAUUACUAUAAUUGGGUUAAAGUUAAGAGACCAUUGCUCUAAUUGAGUUAAAGUUGAUGGACUAUUUCUCCAAUUAGGUUAAAGUUGAGAGACCAUUACUGCAAUUUUUCUCAUUUGAUUUUCCAUAUUAACCUCAUGAUUCAACUUCAUAUGCAUGAUAUAUGACUCAUUUUGACGAAAGUUAUAACAAAGUUGAUGAAAAGAACUAUAACUGCAUGUUUUGAUGAGUUAAGGAACCAAUAGUCAUGAAUUUUUAGUUGAUGAACCUUUAAUCUAAUUGAGUUAAAAUUAAAAGAUAGUUUCUACAAUUUUUCUCAUCACGUUAUAAUAGAAUAGGUAAAUUCCUUAAAACAACAAAAAAUCCCAUUUCAAAAGAGUACAUGAUGGCCCAGCCCAUAACUAGUAAGGAAUCGGUAGGCCGAGACUGAGUAAAUGGGCCAUAAAACCCAUAAAACGGAGGAAGCGAGAAAGCGAAGGAAAGGCAUCGAAUGGCUGAAACAAGAAGAACAAACAAGCGGAAAAUGGCAGACCGGAGAGGAGAAGCAGAUUCCGAGAAGACAUCCAAUUGGCCGUCCAUUAAACCAAAGAAAAAUCUUCAGCUAACUCCUCUCAAAGAUAACAAUCUUUUUACUGUAAGAAUCCCAUUCCAUUUUUAUUUCAAAAAUCUUGCAUCUUUUUUAUGAAAAAUUCAAUUUUUUUUACACAUGGGUUCUUCUCAGAUGCAUGAACAGUAAUUUGGGUUUAAUUUAUUAUUUGAGUAAAUAUUAAAAUUGGGAUCAAAAUUUGAUCUUGGUGAAGAUUAUGGUGUAAUGGCGGUCUGUUAAUAGUUAAUUGAGUGAGUUAAGGUAUUUUCAGGUGCAGAAUUUCCUGACUUCUGCAGAAUCAAAUGCUUUCGUUAAAGCUGCAGAGUCUAUGGGGUUUGUUCACCAGGGGAGUCUUGGCCCGACGAAAGGCGAAGCGUACAGAGACAAUGAUAGAAUCUCUGUGAAUGAUCCUGUUCUUGCAGAUACAAUAUGGGAGUCUGGUCUUAACAAAUUGUUUUCUGACAUUAAAAUUCGAGGGAGGACCGCUGUUGGAUUAAACCCGAUAUCAGAUUCUAUAGGUUGGUGAAGUUCAUUUUGUUAAUGUUGUUUAACAAGUUCGAAAACUUUUUGUAAUUGUGAAGUGUGAACUGAUCCCCAUUUAUAGAAAACUCUACUUUUUGAUCCUACAAAUUGGGUACAUUUGAUUGGAUUGUUGCAAAGAAUUAUCUGAUUCGAUUUGUUAAAGAACGCCGCUGUCACUUGUUCGCAUAGAAAUGCUUCUCUAUUUUACAAAAGAAUGUGCUGUUUUUUGUUGUCCUGUGCACCUGGAAACUUAAUUUUCGGUUGCAAUGUGUUUUCAGGUACAAGGCCGGUCAGCGCUUUGGAAGGCAUAUUGAUGAAAGUAAUGAUCUUGGUGACGGAAAACGCACACAUUAUACGUUGCUAAUAUACUUAAGUGGUGGCGGUUUCAAACCAAAAGCUAAAAGUGAUACGAGCAGUCUUAAGGAUUCUUCCUCAGAGCCUCUGGUUGGAGGAGAAACAGUUUUCUAUGGUUCAAGGAAUAGUGUUGUGGCAGAGGUGAGUUAUGUUUUCGUCAUAUACCGUAUUGCUUUUAUUGUCUACUAUUCACUUUAGUUUUUAUGUUCAACUUGAUGUAAAAUCUUGUUUGUUUCUUGAAUGUUUUUAUGGAAUAUGCAUUGACUGUCAAUCCAUGAAAUUCUGUAGGUGCCUCCCACCGAAGGAAUGGCUCUUCUGCACAUUCAUGGGGACAAAUGCUUGCUGCAUGAAGCCCGAAAUGUUACAAAGGGUAUCAAGUAUGUAUUUCGUUCGGAUGUAGUAUUUGCUUGAUGUUUGGUUACUUGUAUAAGCUGAAAACCUUCUUAAGGUUACUCAACCAAAAACAUAUAGUAACGGAAAUGUGUAUUAUCUUCGUGACACCACUUCAUUUUUCAUCUGAAUUUCUUUGUUCUUAAGAUAUUACUUGGAGUAGACACUUGAUACAUAUCAUAAUCUAGUGGCAAAAAGGAAAAAAAUGUAAAUAAAGGAUCAGGAUACCAUUUUUUUCCUUAACUGAGUACGUUUUUUACUAUAGAAGAAACAUUAUUGCUGGUUUCUUACUACAUUAAGAGAUGAUAGAACCAGAGCAUCAUACUUCUAGAUUUCUGUGGGCAACAUAGGCACAGUUUUCUUUGCUAUUCUUAUUUUAGUGAGGUAGGAAAGAACUUCUCUCGCCUGGUGAUAUAUGCAUCCGAUGGGUUGAUGAUCUCUUUGUUUUCUGAGUCGGAUUGGUAAAGAAUACAGAUGGAAGCACACUACAUCUUCAUUUCUCCAUAUAAUAGAACCUGAGUUAUGUGUGGUCCGUUGACCUCCACACACAACUAUUUCUUCUCUUUAACAUCUGUGAGGGAAAGUACACAUGAUUCCACUUUAACAUCAGGCAUAUCAAUCCUAACAUUGUAGGUUGUCUUGGGUUUGCCGACGUUUGCAAGUCAUGAAAUUUUCCCUUCACCUUAUGACCAUCUUCUAUAGCUUGAGCAAAAGAGGGAUACUUGAGGUCCAUGCCUUACCGGGUUUUGUGGUCCUGCAAACACUUUUUUCACCCGGAAUUUUUCUUACUGUGGUUGUGUUGUAGCUUUGCUUGCACAGAAGGUCGAUGUAAUCUUUUCUCAGAUGCAUCAAAAACUCACUCAGGAAUACUGCCUUGGUUGGGUUGAGAAGACCCAAUCCGUUAGCAAAUUCUCUUUCAUUUUCGUGCUUUUUCAGGUCCACGGCAUAUGCUUUAUUGAGAAAACAUAGUGGUUUGUAAAGAAGUUUUGGAAGUUACAGAGUAGAUUGUUUGACAUACCUGUGGUCUGCAGAGCGAAUAUAAUUGCUGUAAGAGACCACCGUGGGUGAGCAGCCUUCACGGUGCAUGGCUGCUGCUCCGGUUACCUGUGGGCAAGACAUUGAGAUUCCAGAGUCCGCAGCAUGGUAUUUGACAGUCCUUGUGUCCUUGGUGUAAACCGAAGAUCUUGGAACGGCUGAGCAGGGCCGAAAGGAUGUUAACAAUCGGCACAAUGAGAUCAAGCUGUUAAUUUUAUUCCACAGCUCAAAAUUGUGAGGGUAGAUACUAUGAGAAUUCCUUCUGGACUGAUGAGUGUUGUUGAAAGGGAAGAGAGAAGGCAGGAUCGUCAACAGAUCAAAAAGGUAUUACGACACUGACUCUGUCUUUCGUGACAAUGCCAACCCGCCGUUUGAUCGGAAAAUAAAUUGACUUAACAAUACGAAAAAACGGUAUGAUUAAACACGGCUGUGCAAGGGAAGGAAAAAAAUGUUGACUUGUUAACUUGUGUGCAGAAACCAACUGUAUAAGGAAAAUAAAUUUUAUUCUCAAGACAAGAUCAAAUUUACAUCGGAAAUUUAAAUCGGGAACAAAUUGUAAACAACAAAAAUAAAAAUCUUUGAUCAAGGACUCUCUUGCGAUUAGAUGAUUCUGAUCAAUUCACCACACGGCAAUUAAGUCUCACUUCACCACCAUCCUCAAUCACCCCAACAUUUCCAAGAUUUACCAUUGAAGCUGCAAACUCCUUGAAGAACACACUUUGAUCCUUGGCAAACGACUCAACAAUCCAUCCAGUCCUGUAAUCGCUAAACAACGCUUGAUCCGAUCCAAACACGCCCUUACCUGCCACCAAUUGCUUGUAGUAAUUGUUAUCAAAAGUUGAGGAAGUUGAGUCCAACAACUCUCCGGCAGUGAUAUCCCUGUUUGGCUUAGAGCAUUUGGUUCUUAGCUUCUGAGCAAAUUCUUUGUUCAUGGUUGGGUCCACGUCGUGCACUGAACUAAAAUUCCGAAGCCGGGAUUCAAAUGAAGAACAAUGUGAGAACCCUAGAGUGUGGCCGCCAGAUAGAGCAACCAAAUCUUUAACACCUAAACCUCUCUUAGCAAAGCUUUGAAUCAAUUGGGACAUGUUGAAAGUUGGAGCUGGUAAGUUGAUGGUCUCAUUAGCUCUCGACACCCUUCCGUCUUUCCUCCCCUUUAGCACAUUCCAAAACGGACCUCCGGACUGACAAAAAUGAGCGUACGUACAUCAGUUUCUUAUACAUUAAGCAUUUGUAUGGCAACGUGGGAACUUAAGUGCAUACAUACCAUGAUCACUACAUCUCUUGCAGCAAUGCCGACGAUAUCAGCACAAGAAACAGUGUGUGGACAUGCGGCUUCUAGCUUGGCUUUGGCAUCGUCAAUCACGUAGAAUGAUCGGACUGAGAUAUUGGGAGGGCCGUCUUUCUCUGCUUGGUUUCCUGCGGUGGAGUCUAGCAGCAACGACGCAUCGCAUCCCUAACCAAUAAGAAACAUAAAUUAAUUCUACAAAAAAUUUAUACGAUAUAUAGACAAGCUUCUUAGCAGGGAUCCCGCUCUACUGUUCAUGGAGGAGAAUAACAUAGUGCAAUAAUAUUGUAUGUAUAAUGUCCAAGUAAUGAUCAAGGUCUAAAAUAUCAAUAUUAUCCCGAUAUUUUCAUCAAAAUUUCCGUGUUUUUGAACUACCGAUAUUUCCGAUAUCAUCGAUAUUUUAGACCUUGAUAGGAACUCUAUAUGGUACUAAGUCACUCAUGUAUCUUACCAUGCAAUGUAUGAAGUGUAAAAUAUUGUACUAAUUCAUUAUAUAUAAAUGAUUAUUGUGUGUUUAAACUUCUUUCAUUAAUUACUACAUAUUUUCUACUCUCACAAUGUUUGCCAGCUCGCUAUAUAAUCAACUUAAAUCAGUUAAAUCCAUCAUGCAAUGCAUUUCCUUCCAAUUUUUUUUGUGAUAAACUAAUAAAUAAUUAACUAAAUAGACAUUCUGCAAAGUUUCAAUAAAAAUUUCCAAGUUUUUCUUACAAUUUCCGUGGGUUUUAUUCAAUUUUUAUCGAUAUCGAUAAUAUCCCGAUAUUUCCAUUGAAAUUUUCGUAUUUUUGGACUACCGAUAUCUCCGAUAUCAUCGAUAUUUUAUACCUUGGUAAUGACCACAUAGCUCUACAGGAUCAGGGAUGUUAUGUAGGCAAUAUAGGGGAUAGUUUAAGUGAGAGAGAGAGAGAGAGAGAGAGAGAGAGAGAGAGAGAGAGAGAGAGAGAGAGAGAGACUGUACCCUUAUGAAACAAUCAUGGAAGAACAUCCUUAAGAUGCGAGCUGGGACUUUAGGGUCAUGCAUGGAAGCAUUAUACACCGCUUGUAAUAUAAUUUUCUCAGCUUGUGGACACGUUUGAUCAUAGUACUGAGCACUGAGCGCCGCUUUUGACUGUGAAAACCUAGUUGAAAGCAGUAACAGUAAUGCAUGGAGGAAGAAGAAGAACAUUGUUUUUGGUGCAAACACAGCCAUUUUCUCUGGGACAAAUGAGGUAGGAAUUAGGGUUUAGAUAUUUUGAAGGUGCUGAUAUAAAUUUUAUAUAUAGGAUCAUUAUAUAUAUACAUUUUCAGCAUUUCAUGUAUAUAUGUUAUAUGGAUGUUGAUCGUACUUUUAAGUUACUCAAUAGAGAAACAGCCUCCAUUGUAAUAUAGCUAGCGAACGUGAAGUACUAGAACUUUGACCCCGCUUUUGGUCAUGUACUAUUGUACUGUGCUUUGAAACCAAGCAUAUCCACCUAAGCUGUUGUUCUUGGUCCUUGGAGGACCAACGUUUUGUUGAAUGGAUUAAACUUAAAGAUCAUUCUAAAAGAAGCAAAUUUCAUAUUUGAAUAUUGUUGAAGUAUGAUCAGGUUAUUGUUGGCUUAUAUCUAUCAGGUUGGUUGUGCUUGCGGUUGGUGAGAAAGUGGGAAUAAUGUACAACAAUUUCGUAGUACUACUGCAAAUAAGAUAUGAAAGAGGGUGAAGUUACCUCAAAUUUAUUUGUUCAUGUUGAACAAAAAUUCAUAGUUGUAGCCAUCCAGCUAUCCAGACAAGCUGGAUGGCUGCUCAUUUGAACCACUAGCCUUAGGCUAUCUUCAACCAAAGGCUGGUCAGAAAGCUCGUUUUAGCCCUCUGGCCUUCCAAGAAAUUAAUAUUUUAAUGAACAGUAAAUGGCCGUAUUUGUCUCCAUCUCCAACCGAGGGCCAAAGGACCAUAGAGCUCGUUUUAGCCCUGUCACAAAAAACCGUCUUCAACUGAAGACCAAAGGGCCAUAGGGCCAAACAUAAUUUAUUAUUUUAAUUUAAUGUUGUUUCAUGUUACUUAAUUUAAUUUAAUAUUGUAUAAUGGCUUAGGAAGUAAAAAAAAAUAUGAAACAAAUUUUGUAAAAUAAAAGUUAUAGGAAAAAAAUAGAAUUAAAAAAAAUAUAUGAAACAAAUUUUGUAAAAUAGAAGUUAUAGGAAGUUAUAGGAAGUUAUUGAAAAAAAAACAUAGAAUUAAAAAAAAAAGUUAUAGGAAAAAAAAAUUGUAAAUAAAAAAAAUAACGGCUAGCUGACGUCAGCUAGCCGUUGCAUUUGAAAAUUUGGCCUAGCAUUCAUGUCAGUUAUAUCUAAUUGGAAUGCUCACAUUUCUAGCCAGCUCGGGGAAGGGCUGGUUGGAUUGGGUUAGCCCUUUGGCCCUUUUAGAUUCCGUGGGGCUCACGAGCCCUUUGACCUAGCCCUCAGUUGGAGACGAUUUUCGAGCGUUUUUCGGCCCUUUGACCUUCUGGACCCUUCGGUUGAAGAUGACCUUAUAUUUUAGUCUGACUCGCCUUUAUUAGUCAUAUGAUCACAUCUCCUUAGGUUUUGUACUUUAUAUAUAUAUAUAUAUAUAUAUAUAUAUAUAUAUAUAUAUAUAUAUAUAUAUAUAUAUAUGAAUGUCUAAAAACAAUAAUCUACCAAGACAAAAACAUAAGUGACCAAACCACAUGCUAUUCGGACUCUUAAAAAAUUGUAUUAUCUAUUUUGAUAAUUUUAUUGGAACUCGAUCUGGAUAGAUUUUGGCAUAUAGCUGUUAAUUUGUCUCAUUUUUCUAUUUCACUUUUCACGUUAUUUGAUUAAAAUUCUCUUCUUUUUAAAUUGUUUUCUUACCAAUUAAUCCUUGUGUGAUUGUUAAAAAUUAAGGUAAUUUAAAAUAGACUUUUUAGCCAAAAUGAUAUUAAAAUUGCGAGAUUGACGUGUUUUUUAAGUUUGUUCACUAUCAAUUAUUUUGAUCAUUUAAUGAAAAAUCUCCAUUAUAUAAGAAUAAAAUGACAAAAAUACUCUUAAAUUUUGUCAAAUCAUUUUGACUAAUUGUAUUUUAAAGUAAGGGUAUUUUUAUCAUUUUGAUUCUUAUUUAAUAGAUUUUUUCACAGAAAGACUAAAAUGAUUGAUUAUGAACAAUUAAUUUAAAUGUUAAAAAUUAAAAUGAUGAGUUAUCCCAAUAUCAUAAACCAUUUUGACAAAAGCCUUCAAAAUAUUAAGGAAAAUCAAAACAAAACAAAUAAAAAUAAAAAAGGUCACAAUUUGUUAGGCGUGUGAUUUGAAUGUUCUUGAUUAUUACGUGGCCUGUUCUUAUUUGUACAAUACUUUUCAUCAGAAUGAACAACUCUGCAGGUGGUCAUCUCCAUGCAAUCCCUAAUCUGAAGGUACGGAACUCACAAAACAAGGCUCAUCAACGUGUCGGCAUCUCCGUGGUCCAUGAUGUGUGCGCAACUCUAUGAACCGUUGAUCGGAUCCCCUUCCCCUGUAAAUAAAUAAAUAAAUCGUUUCGGGAGGGUCCCUGGCUAUCAGUGGUAGGGCUCGCAAAGAGAAAAAAAGAGGAUAAGUGGGGCUCUUCUGAUUCUCUCUCUAGGGUUUGUUUCCUCUCUCUCUCUCUCUCCCUCUGUUCCUUCUCUUCCCUCUCUUUUUCUUGUUCCUUCUAAGUUUCAUAACUGUUCAAAUUAUUUGAUUUUGCUUUCCGUAAUUAGUUCAUUAAUCUUAUCUAAUCUAAUCCUCCCCCGAAGUAUGAACAGAGAUUCAAAAUCCCAGUAAAAAAUCACCCUCUGUUCUUGCUCCGUUUCUGCAGCUAACCCAGAUUUUUCCUGCUUUUAAAUUCUUGAAAUUUUCUCCUUUUUUCAGCUUGAUUUUGUGCUUUUCCAUCUGGGUUUUCUGGGUUGUUCAAUUUUUCGGAGAUUCUUGAACUCCGGCAGAUUAUUGGGUUAGGUUUUUGGUGAAGAAGAUGAAGUCGAAUCAAAGGCAGAGCCUUCAAGAAAGCAACGAGCUUGAACGUGGUGGCGACAGUAACCACCUCCACCUCAGGGUCCAGCCCAUCAGUGGCGAAUACUCCGGAGCAAAACUUUUCGGCGACGGUGCUGAUGAUGAAAGAAGAGCUGGCGGGCCCAGUGCAACAGUUAGACCAGCAGGGAUCUCUGUCCAUGGGGAUUGUUCCGGUGCCCGUUUCUACGGCACCGAAACCUGCUAGGAGGUCGUCGAAGGACCGCCACACGAAGGUGGAGGGCCGGGGCCGGAGGGUCCGGAUGCCCGCCACGUGUGCGGCCAGGAUUUUUCAACUGACCCGGGAACUCGGCCACAAGUCCGACGGUGAAACCAUUAGGUGGCUGCUGGAGCACUCCGAGCCUGCUAUAAUUCAAGCCACCGGCUCAGGCACCAUCCCCGCUAUCGCCGUUUCGGUCGGCGGCGCUCUAAAGAUACCAACAACUUCGCCAGCGAGACCCAACGGUGAAGGUACUGAAAUACCCAAGAAGAGAAAGAAGAUGAGAGGGUCCCUGGGUGAGUUUGCUGACGUGCACGACCAGUCUAGCGGGUUGGCACCCAUAGCACCAAUGAUUUACGGCGGCGGUGGUGGUGGCUUGGUGCCUAUGUGGCAAAUUGGAGCAACCGGCGCGGCUGGGCCUUUCUUCAUGUUUCCGAACUCCGGGACGAUUCAGAACCAGCCUCAGCUCUGGGCUAUUCCGACGGCGGAUUCCACGGCGCCGAUUUUCAAUUUCCAACCCAGACCCUUGUCCAAUUUCGUCUCGGCCUUUCCAGCGGGGGUUCAAGUUGGCAGCGUUGGCGGUGGAGAUGGGCAGUUGCAGGCCUCAUCGUGUUCAAUUCCGGGCGGCGCAGCCACGGGUGGUGGUGGGAGCUGCUCUUCUAGUUUGGGACACAGUUUGGAGUCGGCCUCAGGGACUAGUGCUGCAGCAUCCGCCGCCGCUGCUCCGCGAAGCGCCACCACUCAGAUGCUGAAGGAUUUUUCGUUGGAGGUUUAUGAUAAGAGGGAGCUUCAGUUAAUGGGGCAGGCUGCAAAUUCACAAACGCCACGCUCAGAAUCUUGAUUUGGAGUUUUUAGUCAACUAAUUUCAAGUUAGGGUGUUUUUUUCUUUCAGAUUUUUAGAGGGUUUAGGCCUUUUUAGUAAUGCACCAAAGAAGCCAUUCUGUUUUUGUUUAGGCUCAAAGGUCUUUUUUGGCUUUCUCUUCUACUUUUGGCCUUAGGUUCAAGUUGCAUUUCUUAUCAAACUAAAUGGAGAUUGUUCAAUAAUUUUUAUGUAACAAGCAAAUUGACGAUUACGGUAAAAAAAGAGACUUGACUUUUAUGAGUGUAUCCGUAUCCGAAUACGGUCCAAUAUACCGAAUAUUAUAAACAAGUAACGAAUUUUUUUUUUUUUAAUUUACCACUCAUAUAAUAAGUUAAUUAACUACUCCGAUGUGGCUGAUGGACCUUAUUCACAACGAGUCUGUGAUGGAAGUUUUAAGUUUAUGUUUCAUGUCAAGCCUCUUUUUCCUUCGUUGAGCUUUUUCCCACUAAGUUUUGCUUAUCGAGUUUUUUUUUUCUCAGAGGCAUCAUUCGGGUUUUUCUGUUCACAUGCACGUUUAUGUAUGAUUUGGAUAUUAUUAAAGGAAAACUAAUGAAGAUGAUUUGAAAAUUUUGAGUUAAAAAAAAAUCGAUAAAAAUGUGUUGUAAGUGAAUAGUACAUAAUUGAUUUUUUUAAAGUAAAAAUGUGAUUUUUCGUUAAAAUAAAUAGUACCAGAAGUUUUUCGUUAAAGUCGUCUAUUAUUAACGAAGUUCUUAUUUAUCCUAAUAAAAAUCUAUUGUAAAAGAAAAUAGUUCCAUGUGGUUUGAGUUGUACACGUGCAAGUACGAUGGGACCACACUAGAAAGUUGAGGUGGGGCGUGGAUCAAGCCGAGUGGGUCAGUGUGGGCCAUGGAGUGGGCUCAUAGGAUCGGGCCACGUGUCCAUAGGAAUGCGGAUCCUUCUCGUUCUGUUCUGUUCUAACGCUGACUCCUCGUGGUGGUCCCUUCCCAUCGUUCUGGCAGUCCAGGCUGUCCCGGCCUUUUUCAUUUUUUUUUUCAUUUCAAAAUUUUAAAUUUUCAAUUGAGAAGAAGUAAUAUAGUAAUGUAAAUGAUGUAACAAAUGAAAUUUUUUCAGUCUGCCGAGAACACAAAAUUUAAACAAAUAAAAAAAAUAAAUAUGUUACUAAGAUGUUAAAAAUGAGUACUCAAAAUAUUAAGAGCUUAUUGGGUUUCAAAAGUACAUAGUUUUCCCUUUGGAAUGUAUUUGGACUAUUCAUGGAAUCAAACGAGCGUGCAUUUGACACCGUUGGAAAUUUAAGUAAAUAAACACAUAUAAUAUGCUACUCGGAAUAUAAGAACGAAUACUUAAAAGUUCAAAAACUUAUUAGGUAUAAAAAAUAAACAGUUUUUCCCUUUUGUAUUUUAUUUGGACUGUUUUCUACAUUCAUGGUAUUAAAUAAGCAUGUGUUUGAUAUCCUUUGAAUUUCUAACCAAUUGAAUUAUGUCGCUUAAUGUACCAGAUCAUGUCCCGGUCCACUACAAAGGGCGUGGAUCCUCUCCAGAUCCAUGUAUCUUAAUCCACCAAAUUCAUGUAUCUGAGUCAUUUAAAUUUGAUACAACGGCUAUAAACAGAGACUCACUUUAACAAUUAUAAUAACUUUAGCCAUUAAAUCACAUUUCAAUGAUCCGGAUACAUGAAUUUGAUGGAUUAGGAUACAUGUAUCCGGAGAGUAUCCAUGUCCCACUGCAAAAUCUCUUCUAACAAACAAGGGCUAAACCCUUGCAUAUUAGGCUCUUCUGAUUGUAAUAUUGUUGGCCUCCCACCCAAUUUAUUAGACGAGGUAAACGGGUUGGGUCAGUGCACAUCUAAAAGGCCGAUUUAACUUUUACCAAACGGGCUCAUAAACGUAUCGUCCAUAGCAUGUAUGAGGUACGUGCGCCUGGAAAAGCGUUGAACAUGUGUACUCAAAAGGCACUGGUUGGAUUUGGAGAUUCCAUUAUUCAAAAGGCUUUUUCAAUUUUUUUUCCCAGUGAUAUGAAAGGAGAAUUUUCACUUAUAAUAUGAGAGAAAUACUAGUUGAUCGUAAUUUUUAUAAUUUGUAAUUGAUUUUUCAAGGGUAGACUUGUUUCAGCACUCCUACCAUAAUCCCUUUAUCAUACCAACCAUUCAUUUUUUAGCACUUAUCACGUUCAUUCAAAGAUAGAUGAUUGAUGUCAGACUUUUGUGCGUAAAUAGUAUUAAGAUGAGUUUACUCUUUAAAAAGUGAUUACGUGAUCAAUUCUAACAAAAUUAACAUCACAUAUGAUAUUUGAUCCAAACAAAACUAAUAGGAGAAAAUACAUGAAAAAAAUUGAAAGUACGAAAAAUCACCACCAUAAAACAACACAUAGACAAAACAAUGAGCUUGGAAUAAAUAUAUUUACAAUUUUUCUUCAAAAGGCCCAAAAAGCCAGUGGUACAAAAUACAUAUGAUUAUGAUUCAAUUGAAGAAAUACAAAUUUUUUCAACUCGUCAAUUGAAUAAAUAAAAAGUCGAAAAACAAUGGAAGCAGUACUCCGUCGCAAAGCAGGGUCGUCCGAUCCCAACUCCGGCGUUGCAAACUCUCUAAAACUACAAUAAAGUUGGAUACUUCGUAGAGUUUAUGUCACUCCGCAAAUGCCAGUUCUCCUUCUUCCUUUUUUCCAGUUCUGAAAUCGCGCUCUCAAGUCCCGCCUUCACAAAGUCGUAAGCUUGGAUAUCGGUUUCUGGUUCCAAUGGAGCUCCCCGUACUUAUCAAAACAGACUUUGUUUAGCUGAUUGGAUUAGACUAUGAAUUUUACGAAAUGGGUUCUCUUAGAUAUGAUCAAUAAAUGCAGUGGCUUCCGGAGUUUCAAGCAAAUCCAUGCACAGAUUUUAGCUUCUGGGCUAGCUUCCAAUGACUUGGUUGCAAGCAGCGUGGUUGGAUUUCUCGGAAAAUCAGUUACUUCUGUUGAUUACGCUUGUGAUUUUUUGAAACAAAUUGAUUGGCGCGAGAGCUCGUUUCCGUUCAACUUGUUGAUCUCCGGCUGUGCGAGCGGAGACGCGCCGCGGGCGGCCUUUUUGGCAUUUAGAAGGAUAGUGAGAGAUGGGUUUUCACCGGAUAUGUUUACCGUCCCGGCGGUUAUGAAAUCUUGUGUGAAGUUUUCGGGGAAGGGAGAGGGCAGGCAGGUUCAUGGGGUGGUUGUGAAGAUGGGUUUUCAAUGUGAUGUUUAUGUGCAGAACUCGCUGGUACAUUUCUAUAGCGUUUGUGGGGAUUGUGGGAGUGCGGUCAAGGUGUUUGAUGAGAUGCCUGAGAGAGAUGUGGUGUCUUGGACUGGCUUGAUAUCCGGGCAUGUGAAGUCGGGAUUGUUUGAUGAGGCUAUGUCUUUGUUUUCGAGGAUGGAUGUGAAGCCGAAUGUGGCAACAUUUGUUAGUGUGCUUGUGGCUUGCGGGCGGAUGGGGUAUUUGAGUGUGGGGAAGGUGAUUCAUGGAUUGAUCUUUAAGCGUUCGUUGGGGACAGAUUUGGUGGUAGGCAAUGCUGUCUUGGAUAUGUAUGUUAAGUGUGAGAGUUUAUGCGAUGCAAAGAAAUUUUUUGAUGAGCUUCCUGAAAGGGAUAUUGUAUCUUGGACGAGCAUGAUAAGUGGAUUGGUGCAGUGUAAACGUGCAAGAGAGUCAUUAGAGUUGUUCCACGAUAUGCAAAGUUUAGGCAUCGAGCCUGAUAAAAUUAUACUUGCUAGUGUGCUUUCGGCUUGUGCCAGUCUUGGGGCUCUUGAUUGUGGAAGAUGGGUGCAUGAGUAUAUUGAUCGUAAGGGUAUCCAGUGGGAUGUCCAUAUUGGAACAUCUCUGAUAGACAUGUAUGCGAAGUCUGGCUGUAUACAGAUGGCAUUGCAGACUUUUGACGAAUUGCAUUGUGGGAAUGUCUCUACAUGGAACGCAUUGUUAGGUGGUUUAGCAAUGCACGGACAUGGGCACGAAGCGCUGAAAAUUUUUGAAGAAAUGACUCGGUCUGGACCUAGACCAAAUGCAGUGACAUUUCUAGCCAUUUUGACUGCCUGCUGCCAUGCUGGUUUGGUUGAUGCAGGCCGUCGGUACUUUUAUCAGAUGAUAAGCCAACCUUACAAUCUUUCCCCAAAGUUAGAACACUAUGGAUGCAUGGUUGAUCUGCUCUGUAGGGCUGGACUCCUGGGUGAAGCUCGGGAGUUGAUAAACACAAUGCCCAUGCAACCCGAUGUGCUGAUAUGGGGAGCUCUCCUGAGUGCUUGCAAGGCCGUAGGUGACGUUGAGCUCUCCCAAGAAAUAUUAGACGCUCUCCUGAAACUUAAGUCGCAAGAUAGCGGGGCUUACGUGCUUCUAUCAAACAUAUAUGCAACAAAUAGAAGAUGGGGGGAUGUAAUAAGGGUAAGGAAGUUGAUGAAGAGGAAAGGAAUACAGAAGUCCCCCGGAUCGAGUGUUAUACAGGUCGAUGGUAAGGCUUAUGAAUUUGUAGUUGGAGGUACCAGCCACCCUCGAAAGGACGAUAUCCAUAUACUAUUGAAUAUCCUUGCUAAACAAGUCUAUCUUGAAGGGUUUUUUCCCAUCCAUUCCUGAUAAGAUAGGUAUUUACUAUCAUUUUUCUCUUUCUUUAUGUUAUAAAUUCUGAUACUUUAGGAAGUGACGUAGAGCGGGUAUUCGAUGAUUUGAAGAAUAUUCCUGUAUAAACUUGAAAUUUUGCAAGGAUUAGAUUUAGGAAGCAAAAUAUGAGAUUACAUAACAAGCCAAGCAUGAAAGGUUCUGAAACUCUUUCGAAAUGGAAAAGGUUCUGAAACUCUUUCUGUGAAAGAAUGAAGCAUGUGUUUUCCCCUGACAGUUAAAAUUCCAUAUGUACAGAAUCUUCUCUGCAAUGAUGUUUAAUAUCCUACAAUUCAGGACCAAUUAGAAUAAACAAAUGUAUAGAUAUAGAUACAGAUAUAUAUUAUACUUAAACUUCAACUGUUUUCUGAUUAAGAGCUGUAUAUCUCCAUCUCUCCUUCUCCACAAAGUCUGCAUCCAGGAACUGUGCAACAAAUGCCCACAGCCUGUAUACGUCUUCAAAGUUGGCCAAGAAUCCGAGUGCAGCUGUAACCACGGUAAUUCCUAGAUCAGGUUUCGCCUUGGACUUGUUAGCAUCCAUUCCCUUCGCUCCGCUUUCUCUUUUCUCUAGGAUUCUCCCUUUCUCUUCAGCAUACUUAUCCGAGAACCAGAUGUGGUGUAAGAAUCCAUAGCUAAGAGAAAUAUUGUUCCUGUCGGCAAGUUUCUGUACGAGAACAGGCUCUACCUUCUCUCCAUUCCAAUCAUAUACAUUGAAUGCCAGAGCUGGUCCCCUAUCGAAUUUGAUCUUUGGCCCAUAGAUUUUUACCAAAGGAAUUCCCUUGCUGUUAGGAUGAUUAAGCUUUCUCAAUGAGCUCACCAGCCAAUUGAUCAGGUACCUUGCCCUGUUAGUGAUCACCAUUAGCCCCAGUGAAUCCACUUGAUCCAGUCCCCUGCAUACAACCUCUAGGUUCCCAUUACCGCUGCUUCUGGAAUUCUCGUCCUUCUCUGAAGAUAUUUCGAUUUCUUCCCAGUUUGCAGCUUCUUCAGCUCUCUCAGGCCGUUCUUGCUUCAAUCUUCUUGUCGGUGUUGACUGAUUGGAUAUCAGACCGGAGAAAGAACUUGCCGUGCCUAAUGCAUCUAGCUGCAUGCCAAGUCUGGAUAUCUGCUCAAGCUCUGUGUCGGUACCGGAAGAAUCCCCUGCUAUUUGAAGCAAUUGCUUUGCCGGGACAAGAUUUACAAUUCCUGUGCUCGUGGAAACUUCUAGGACCGAAACAGCAGAUUUCUUGACAAAGAGGCAUGCAAAGCCUGAAGGGUUUUCCCCACAAAUCUUGUAGAAGGAAGAAAUGAGGAAAUCGGGUUGAAAGAGAGAGAGGCCGAAGCUGUCCAUAUCUUUUGGUCCUAAUGCACAAGCAUCAACCAAGACGUGCCACCCGUUCUCCUGCGCCAUGGUCAUCCAUAUGUAAGGAUACCUGGAGCCUGUUAUCCUAGAAUGUACCGGAAACAUGAAAAGCCCCCUUUUCUUCUUCUUCUUCCUCUUGCUUACGACCAUCUUCCUCAACUUGGCCGACUGAAUCCUCAGCCGGGGCCACGAAAACUCCGCCGACAUGACUUUGGCUCCUCUCUUUUCGGAGCUGUUAAUCAUCCCUUCCACUGCCUCACUCUCGUAAUCAUACACCGUCAGCAGCUUCCUACUGGUCUUGAACGGGUAAGAUUCCGCCACAAGUUUAAAAGCCGAUGUUCUGUUGGCAGUGAAAACCAUGCUGUAAUCAUUUUCUGAUAUGUUAAGAAAAUCCAUAAUCCUGUUUCUCAUUGCAGAUUCCAGCUCUGAUUCCUGGCCGCCAUGAAGCAGCUGCGUCUUCAAACUCCCUGUCUUGUACGACAAACUAAAGAAGGGGAAAUCCGACCUCACUUGAGAAGAGGAUUCGUGAUUGUGCAGCUGAGAAGAGGAGAAGAGGCCGAUGCCAAUAUAAUCAAGGCAGGUAUGGUUUGACUGUGAGAGAUGGUAGUACUCUUUAGCUCGUAUCCGAUCAACUUCCGCAGUCUCAUGGUAUUUGGGAUAAACGUUGGUGAAGUCAGCGAAGGACUCGUGCAAAGACGGGAGACACUCGUGGUUGGUGAACACGGUGUUUGGGAAUAUGGAUGAUGAAGUCGUGGCUGCAAAGUCGCGGCGACAAGCUGCAGAAGUGCUUCCGGAAUUGGACAUGGUGCGGUGGUGAUGCGCUGACAGCUUCUGUAACGGGUUGGGGCAGCAGCCACUGAGGCAUACUUCUGUGACCUCCUUCCAGCAAGGUGACUGCAUCUCUCGCCCUCUCUCUCUCAACAAUUUUGGUAAAGUGUGGGGAUUUUGUUUGUUGUUUUGAUUAAGUCUUCUGCUAUUGGUUUGUAUUUAUAAGAAGUUAUUUUUCGGUUGGAAAAAGGUGCAGAAGGUUACUUUGUCUUACCUGUUUUAGUUUGAACAGGUCGUGACACUUAAAGACUCUGCUUAAUUAGGUGGCUUAGUUGACAUUUUCUCUAGUUAAUUUCAUGUUUAACCAGUUAUCAACAAGGCGUGCAUAAGAUCGUUAUGACCUAAGGGAUUUGGUCUCAACUGGUCACUUUUUUUUUUUGUUACACUUGACUGAAUCGAAUACUUAACCUAUCUUAAUUCUAAUUUGUUACUCAACUUUCACUCACCACUUCAACUAACCGUAACGACUUCAUAUAAACCCGUCAUUUAGUCAACAAGGCGUGCAUCGGUAUGAUCAUGAUGCAUUAUAAUGAUCCCUCUAAACGUGCUUAACUUUAAUCCUAUAAUUCCUAAGCACUACAAGUGUAAUGUAUGUCUUUUUGUGAAAGGCGGACUCGGGCAGAGAAAGCAAGAGGCAAAAGUGGAAGACAAAAGGGCUGUUUUUCCCUUUGUGGCCGGCAUCAUCGGUGUGGCCAACAUUGCUUCUGUAAUCUCUAUGAAUUCUUCCAACUUGCUUAAGCCUUAAGUUUGAAUAAUUCUUUUAACUUUCAUAGAUUGUGCCGAUGUGCAAAUUUUGGAGAGAGGAUCAUUGACGGAUCCUUUUUUGUUAGGAUUCUAGGAUCCUCCAAUCACAUUUGUUCAUCGUAUAUCGUGCGAUUAAUUUUUAUCAGGUACUAUUUAUAUUCAAUUUUAAAUAAAAAAAUUUACAAUAAUUUAUGAUAGCACAAUGUACAAAAAAAUAAAUAUAAUUAAAGAAUUUCUACAAUCCUCACAAAGAUCCCGACAAAUUUUGCAUGGCAGUUGUACUAAAAACCAAUUUAUUUAUUAUUUCUUAAAGGCUCCAACUGUUUCAAACUAAAAACCUAUUUAUUUAUUAUUUCUUAAAGGCUCCAACAGUCUCAAUUUGCUUCUUUCUGUUGAUUGUGGCCAGAAAUGCAAUAGCUGUCUUAAUUUUUGAGAAAAGAUAUUCUCCGGUUUUCUUUCAUUAAGAACACCGGAUCAAGUGAUAUGGACUUUUAAAAUUUCAUCCAACGGUCCAUUUGUUUUGACCUCUUAAAAGUUAUAAUAAUUUUUUACCGUUUGAUCAAAUUUUAAAGUUUUGGAUCACUUGAUCUGAUGACCUUAGUGAAAGAGAUCUGGAGAGGAUCUCUUUUCUUAAUUUUUGAAAUAAUUGGGGAUAAACUUUACAUUAAAGGCUGUUCUCUUCAUCAAUUGUGAAGGGUAUGAUUUUUCUAAUUAAUAAUUUUUUUGUUUUGGACUUUUUAGCCAAAAUAGUUUAUUAGAUUGGUCUAACUCUUCAUUUUGGUCUUCGAGAUUUAACCUAAGAUUGUCUACGAUCAAUCAUUUUAGUCAUUUUGUGAAAAAAUCUUCUUUAAAUUGAAAAACCCACUAGUUCAGGGGAAUGGGUUGACUGACAAAAAAUAAACUUAUUUUAAAUGAAAAUUCUCACAAAUAAAAAUGAUUGACGGUGACAAUCUCCGGACUAUUUUUUUCGAUUUUAAAUUUUAUAGACCAAAGUGAGAAGUUAUGUUGGUCUCAUGGAUCAUUUUGGAUAAAAAGAAAGAUAUUUUUUCUUUUUUAUAUGUUAUCGAUAGUUUGAAAUAUUGUAACCUAUGGGAAGGGGAUUUGAGCUCGAAUGCAACUGGGCGAGCACAUUGUUUUGAUCAACUGAUCUGAAAUACAUAUGCAACUAAUAAAUAAUUUGAUAUUGUUUGUGAAUGUGGAUGGAAAUGAGGAAUGAGGAUCCUCGUCGAUUCUUUUUGUGAGGAUUCUGGGAAUCUUCAAAAUAUAUCCGUUCAUCAUACAUCGUACGAUAAGAAAUUAUUGUAAUUUUUUUAUUUAAAAUUAAAUAUAAACAAUACUUGACGAAAACUGAUCACACGAUGUAAGAUGAACAAAUUUGAUUGAAGGAUCCUAGCCGAAUCUUCACAAAGAGGAUCCGACGAGGAUCAUUUUCGGAUUCCUUUCCACCUAAUCCACCUAGUAUGGGAUCCAUAUUGUUGAAAUUUGAUCCAAUAAUUAUAGUUAUUAUCAUUUUUAAAGGGUUCUUUAUUUGUAAUCGUUGUAUCAUUUUAACAGUUAGAAUUCUGGAUUAGAUGGAAAUGGAUCCGGAAAAAAUCCACUCUCUCGUAAAUAAGGAUCCAAAAAAUGUUUUUACAAGGAGGAGAUAAUAUUGGUGUCAGCAAUCAACAUCAUUUUUUCAACUUCCAACAAAUAAUGGUUUAAUAGCCACUCUAUCUCUAUCUAAAAUCAGCGGUCCAAAAUUGAAUGGGUACAAUGCCACUAAUUUUCAUAAAACAUCAUUUUCAAGCAAGAAAUGAUUAGAAAAAAAACUGACAUCUACAAAAAGUUUCGAGAGAGAGGAAGCUAUUCCAUUUUAGAAUCACAGCAUAUCACAAGCCUCUUUAAGAAUUUUUAUUUUUAUUUUUACAAAACGUCUAACAAGAGAGAUUAUCGGCAAUGAGAUUCAAACUUAGACCUUAGUAUACCAAAAAGAAUGAUUCUUACUAACUCAACAAACUCUAGUUGGCAAUUAAGGACUGGUUUGGUAUUGUUGUUCUUUGAAAAAAACUGCUUCUACUGUAUUAUGAGAAUAAACUCAUUUUUUUUGCUUCACAUUUUCAGUUUUUUUUCACCAAAAACUGUGAAAAUAAGCUGUUUUUAAGUGUUUACCAAACACAUUUUUGAAUUCAGCUUUUUUUAUACCCAUUUUUUAUAAAAGUACAUCAGUAUCAAAUCAGUAUUAAGUUAAUUUUCUCAAUAAUGGUUGGAAUAUUAGAUAUAUUUUUAGGUUUAAUUAUGGGCUAAAAAGUGGAGCAUAUGAGCCAAGGUAUUUUUUUUGUCCUUAAUACGUACAAAGUGAGGAGAAAUCCCUAAAUUAGAAAAGAGGAAGUCAACAAAGGGAAAAUCAGUAUAUUGCCGCUGCACUGUCCUAGACUCCUAAUUGAUGUUUUGGAAUGAUGAAAAAGCAAAAGAGAAAAAGAUAAAAGUUAAAGAUAAAGAAACAACAACCUUUUGAUUGAUCACAGCACACGGUUCACACCCGACACAGGUGUUUGUGUGUUUGUGUGUUUGCGUUUGUAUUUGUGUGUGUAUCUAGUUUAAGUUAAGCAUGCAAGAUUUUACUAAAUCUCACUUGUUGACUCUGCCACAAACAAAAUCUCUUUUUUUUUUUUUUUUUUGUUAAAAAAAAUCUCAUUUGUAUGGUAUAGGGUUUUGGAAUUCCAAGUUCCAAAUUUGUAAACAGAAUAAGCCAAAUGCGCUUUGAGUAGUUUGUAUGUCUCAAAAUAAAUAAAAUUUACUCAUUCGAUCAUAAUAAAUAUAAUUUUAUACGAAAAGAGUGAAUAUUGUUGGUUUCGAUUUCAAGUUUAGAUAGUUUAUGGUCAGGAUUUACAAAUCAAUUGGUUAAGAACAUUCAUUAUUAUAUUUGAAAUAAAUUUUGAUUUCUCUCUCUUCUUCAGCAUUGUUUGUGUGUGUGUAUACUAUAUAUAUAUAUAAUCAACGAGUCUAGGUAGCUUGCUAAUGCUCAACAUUGGGCCACAAGGUAUAUUAUAAGUAUCACUCUAAUAUUCAUUGCUUUUAUACGUAUAUAAACAUAUAAGUACGGUUUUAAUAUAUUCGUUGCUUCUAACGUAUAUAAAAAUAAGGUAAGAACAAUAAUAUAUUUAGUCAGAAAGCUUUAUCUAUUUGAAAUGUUAUAAGGAUUGUUGGGUAGUUUGCUUGCUAAUGCAUGCAUACAUAUUCUAAAUGUGAUCAAGAAUAUAACCUUUAUUUAAUGGGCUUCCUAAUAAUUAAAGUAUAUGGUAUAUGGUUUUCGUCCAAUUUCAAUAUCAUACGUCUUUCAAUUCUUUUAAUUUUUCACAUUUUGGUUUUCAUUUUUUUUUUGAAACUGAAAAUAGUUAUCAAACAUGAUUUUAGUUUUCAGUUUUCAAAAUAGUCACAAUUGAAAACUGAAAACAAAAUUGCUACGCCCCUUAAUUUUUAUUACAAGUUAAUGUUCACGCAUUUGGAUUUAUAUUAGUCUAUACUAUCAUGAGCUUUCAUUUUUGAUAGCUACACGCCUCAAUGUUCAUUCAUGAAACUAUUGCUUACAGUUAACACAUAAGAGUUUCUCUAGUGGAACCGAAGCUCGAAUUUAGAAUUUGUGUUCAAUUACUAGUCAUAUGCAUAGCUUGUAUCAACAAAUAUAAAAAAUAAGCUCAAACUCAUCCAAGCCCAUUUGUUAUUGCUUGGAACCUAUGAUUUAUGGACUUAAAUUCAAAAUUUUGAGGGGCAAUAUUCUCUCUCUUUAUUUUCCCUUUGGUCUUGUGUGGGCCUGGCUCAUACAAGACAGCCCCAUAGGCCGAAUAUGAACUGUCGGACAGCCUAAUCAUAAGAUUUUAGAGCUAAAAAGGGUCUUAACCUCUCUUCGCCAUGUGAUAUCCCAUACAAAAAAGCGUCGGCAUUCUCAUGCAGUUGUAAGUAAAGCUCACAGAAAAGCAGUUUUUUCUUCUUCUUUUGUUUUAAGGUCAGAAGUGGAAGAAAGCAGCUGCAAAAACGUAUGUCAUGUUCUUCACGAGUUCUCUUCUACCAAUUCUUAUCUGCAUACUGCAGUGAAUAUUUAUGUAUCAAUCAAUACAGCUUCUACAUGAUCAUUACAGAGAAUUAGGGUUUUGAAAAGAUUACAGGACAUUAAAAAGCUCAGUACAUAUUUGAAAAUUUGUGAAAAGAACGACCGUAAAGUCUUCGAGAAGGACAUUUUCAGAAAGAUGGAAUGGAAGUGGAACAUAAUAUCACAGCUGACAGCCCCAUAAAACGCUUCCAGAAGUGGGGGUAUCUAGCUAUAACCAAAUAUCACCCUAAACUAUCAAUUAAUUUGCUUUCUUUCCUUAAACAACCUUACCUUGUUAGAAAUAUAAGAUUGUAAGGUUGUGAUGAUGCCACAUGUAAACAGAUUAGCUGGUCUAUUAUAUUUGUUAGAAGAGUCGGUUGGUUAUAACUAUAAAUACUUAAUCUUGUAAUAUUAAGCAAGAUAUCAAUUCAAUCAUUUUUUUCCUCCUAUUUCUCUGUCUACAAUUCUCUUUAUCUCUCUCUCUCUCUCUCUCUCUCUCUCUCUCUCUCUACAUUCAUAGAAACUAAGAUACUUGGUUAAUAUGGUAUCAAUCGCCAUUGUUGCUCACGCAUAAAGAUUCGAUCCUUCGUUGCUUCCACCUUCUACGAUUCUUCGUCUGCUACUCUGGAGACUUAGGGCCUCGUAUAAAUACUCGGGGGACUUAAAUGUAAUUAUGUAACAAAGGAAGGGGCAAAUAUGUAAUUAGGGGUGGAGCCCUUAUUCUAUAAAAGGGUCUCCUCACCCUCACAAACCCUAAGCCUCCUCACACCCCCUAAGCUCUAAGCUCUCUCUCUCCCUCUUCAACAGAGAAAUAUAAUACAAUCAGUGUGGACGUAGCCCAAAUCUUGGGGUGAACCACGAUACAUCUUGUGUUAUUUACAUUACUUGCAGAUUCACGGUCAGAUUUAUGUUGUUCCAAGACCUCCAGUUUUGUGCAUUAACAUUUGGCGCCGUCUGUGGAAAACGACACGAAAAGCUAUGUCGGUUCUCUUUCAUUUUUUUCAUCUCACCGCCGUGAGACCUCACCACACUCCAUUUUGAAUCUGCAGAAACCCAAGAACCCAGAAAACCUCGCUCUUUGGGCUUUCCCAGAAAAGCUUCGCACACUCUGUGCAGUUAAAAAACUCCCCAACAACCCCAAUCUCCCCCUCUGAGGCUUUUCAUCAAACACAUAGCGAUCAACUCCAAGAGGCCCAUCAGAAAAUCAAGCCGGCUUCUGCAAACAGCAGUCCUGAAGCAGAUUCUCAAGAGGUGAUCCAGCUUGAAAAAAAAAAAAAAAAAACAACGAACUCCAAAGCAGCAGCAGCAGAUCUGAAAAUCUGCAUUUCCAUCCGAUACGUCCAAACCCCUAAUCGAAGGGUCCGAGAUCCGAAACCUCCAUCCAGUUCAGAGCUCCAGCAUCCGAUGAUGGAGUCCGGAAAUGCUGCCGACGACUCCUCCACGGUGGCAAGCCUCAUCCCGUUGGCCUCCACCUCCUAGCAACCCUACGUCUCCGAGCUCCUCUCUUUCACCUUCGAUCGCCUUCACAAGGAGCCGAAGCUUCUCCGGGUCGAUGUGAAGCGAAUACAGAGGCAAAUGCAGGAGAUGGCAGUGGCCAAUUACCGAGCUUUCAUUACUGCUUCCGACGUGUUGGUCACAAUUCGAAACGAAGUGUCUUCCAUUGACAAACAUCUCGAGUCUUUGCUAGAGGAGAUGCCGAAGUUGAUGAAUAGGCGCACUAAGUUUGUUGAAUCUGCGAAACAUAUUUUGGAAAAGAGGAAAUUGAACCAGACGUGAAGCACAUGAAGAAAUUGAAUUUGAGAGGUGGUUUCCAAUAGGGUCCGCGCGGCCCUCAUCUACCUCAGCCAUCUUCGCAUGAUUAUCUCGUACUCAAGUGCUUCUGUCGGUGAUUAAAGUUUAAAAGUUGUGUGUGACAUUGUGCAUAUAUUCUGAGGGAUUAUCUGCUAUGUCUCGAAUGUGGUGAGAAUGUGCUCGAGCCAGGCUUCCAUACUCAAGAAAUCAGGAAAGCAGUGGAAAAGAGAAAGCAAAAGAAAAGCAGGAAAGCAGUGGGGAACAAAACAGAAAAGAGAAAGCAAAAGAGAAAGCAAAAGUGAGGAAUAAACAUCCCAUAUGUGAUUUACUUUUGUUAUUUCUGAAUGAUGUAAUUUAUUUUAUCUUUUCGGAGACAUCUGUAUAAACCCCAUCAGAGGGUAAUAAUACCAAAAAAAAAAAAAAAAGCAAAGCUCAAAGUAAAUGGGCUGGCAUGUUGUGGAGAGCGAAGGCUCAUAAGCCUAAAAUAGCACCAACCAGGUCAUUAAAAGUACGCCCAGUACUCCAAAAUUAUUCGGUAACCCGUCGCUACUACCACCAACCAGGUCAUCAAAAGUACGCCCAGUAAUUCCAAAAUUAUUCGGCAACCCGCCGCUAUUAUCACCAACCAGGUGACCAAAAGUACGCCCAGUACUCCAAAAAUUACUCGGCAACUUGCCGCUAUUACCACCAACCAGGUGAUGAAAUGUACAACCCGUACUCUAAUAUCAUUUGGCAACUAGCCAUUCAUGCCACCAACCAGAUGAUCAAAAGUACGCCCAGUACUUCAAAUCAUACAUGAGCACUACUCAUGUCAAUCAUACAUAAACAUUCAUGAACAUUACUCAUGUCAAUCAUACAUAAACAUUCAUGAGCAUCACUCAUCCAAUCAUACAUAAACAUUCAUGAGCAUCACUCAUCCAAUCAUACAUAAAAAUUCAUGAGCAUCACUCAUGUCAACAUCCAUGAGCAUCACUCAUGUCAAUCAACAUAAACAUCCAUGAGCAUCACUCAUGUCAAAAGCUUCAUUUACAGAGCUCUAGCUUCAAAAUCGUCAUUUACAGAGCUCUAGCUUCAAAGCUUCACUUGCAAAGCUUCACCUACAAAGCUUUAGUGCAGGGUAUACAAAUACCACAUCCGAACAACCACCACUUCGGCCUAUACAUGGAUUCAAUUUAAAGUCUCCAGUCAACAUACUCUAUUGAUCGAAGACUUAGGGGACUACAUUAUGUACCAUAUAUUGGGCCUCAUGAAAAAUACUUGGGGGACUCUAGCCCAUUAUUUAUGUACUGAGGAGAAAACCCUUAUUUUAUAAAAGGGACUCCCUCACUUUCAUUAGAGAGCACUCAUUCUUCAUGUACUGAGAAGCGAGCCUUUAUUUUAUAAAACUCUCUAGGGACUCUCUUACCAUCAUUAGAGAGCAACGCCGCCAGUUAGCAACUGCCUCGCCGCGAGCAUCACUCCUAACCCAUCACUUAUGUAUUGAGGAACGAGCCUUUAUUCUAUAAAAGGGACUCCCUCACCACCAUUAGAGAUCAUCGCCGUCUACUGAGCAACUGCCUCGCCGUGAGUAUCAACUUUAACCCAUCAUUUAUGUAUUGAGGAACGAGCCCUUAUUCUAUAAAAGGGACUCCCUCACCAUCAUUAGAGAGCAUCAAUUCUAGCCCAUCAUUCAUGUAUUGAGGAGCGAGCCCUUAUUCUAUAAAAGGGACCCCCUCACCUUCAAACGUCGCAAGCCGAGCCAACCAAGGCAACAUAAGCCACGAGCUGAGCAGCCUUGCAGCGUGUGCUACCUCUAGUUGAGCGUCAUUUCAGAUUGAGCACUGCCUCAUAUCGAGCAUCAGUUCAAGACAUCAUCUAGUUACUUCGACCCACACAUGGACUGAAUUUCAAGUCUCUAGCCAAAAGACUUUCUUGACUGAAGACUUGAGGGGCUAUUGUUUAUACUAUAUUUAGGGCCUCGUAUUUAGACCUCGUAUAAAUACUCGGGGGACUUAAAUGUAAUUAUGUAACAAAGGAAUGGGUAAAUAUGUAAUUAGGGAAGAAGCCCUUAUUCUAUAAAAGGGUCUCAUCACCCUCACAAACUCUAAGCCUCCUCACACCCCCUAAGCUCUAAGCUCUCUCUCUCCCUCUUCAACAGAGAAAUAUAAUACAAUCAGUGUGGACGUAGCCCAAACCUUGGGAUGAACCACGAUACAUCUUGUGUUAUUUACAUUACUUGCAGAUUCACGGUCGGAUUUACGUUGUUCUAAGACCUCCGGUUUUGUGCAUCAACAGAAUCACCUUUUUCUCUCGGUGAUUUCUCUUGGUGUUCAAGAUUCUAGGGUUUCUUGCUUCUGUUCGUCUGCUAUUUUGGAGCUGAAUUGUCUCUUCUCUUGGUGUUCAAGAUUCUAGGGUGUCUACAUCAAGCCAAGAUUCUUGAUUUCUGGGUGUUUUUCGUCUGCACACAAGGUGUUUGUUUUUUUUUUUCCAUGCCAUGGAAAGGUAUUUUUUCGUUCAGCUUCUUCAUAUACAAUCAUGGUAACUGCUUCACAACUUCAGAUUUUGCAAUCUCCAAUUACUUGGUUGAUUUCCUAUGUGUCAACUUCUGUGAAUGUCAAAUUAGAUGAAUCUAAUUACCUUAAUUGGCAUUUUCAAAUGGAAUUAAUGCUGGAGGGACAUGAAAUUAUAGGGUUUGUUGAUGGUUCGUCCCCAUGUCCUCCUCGUUUUGUAUCUUCUGGUUCUAUUGCAUUUGAAGUCAGUUAUGGUAAUUUAUCUGCUAAUAUUGAAAAUGAUGAAUAUAAAGUGUGAAAAAUGCACGAUAGUGCACUUAUGCAGUUGAUAACUGCUACACUGUCACCUGUAGCUGUUUCUUGUGCUAUAGGGAGUACUAGUUCUUAGGACAUUUGGACUCAUCUCAAAUAUAAUUUUUCGACAGUUUCAAGAACUAGUAUCUUUCAGAUGAAGUGUGACUUACAAACCAUUAAAAAGGGUUCAAAUUCAGCAUCUCGGUAUCUACAGAGAAUCAAAGAAGCUUGCGAUUAUCUCUCUGCUGCAGGAGUGUUUUUUGAGGAGGAAGAUAUUGCGAUUUUGACCUUAAAUGGAUUACCUUCUGAAUAUAACACAUUCAGAUGUGUCAUUCGUGGAAGAGAAAAGGUCAUCCCAUUGAAGGAAUUUAGAUCUCAAUUGCUUGCAGAAGAAGCAAUUGUUGAAGCAAGUAUUAAUACUCAGAUGUUGUUUGCCAAGUUGGCUACCAAUGUUCCUACUACUGACAGGGGUUCUAAUGAUCAAUCAUCUGGCACUUCUCCUAAUUCUGGGUAAUCCAACUAUGGAUUUAGGCAGUACAACAACAAAUACAAAGGCAAAAGCAAGUUCAAUCAAGGAAAUAAAUUUAACAUGCCAAGGCAGUCAUAUCACACUCAAACUCGAGUGCUUCCAACUCCAAGUCUAGGUGUUCUUGGUCAUGCACCUCAGCAAGCUUAUUGUGGUUAUCCUGAUCCUUAUAAUACUUGUCAACUGUGCUAUUAAGAAAGGCACACUGCACCUUUCUGUCCUAAUCAGUUUAGGUCUAAGCCUAAGUGUUACAUUUGUGGUCAACAAAAUCACAUUGCUCAUUAUUGUUUUCACAAGGAUAAAGAUCCUCGUUUUUUACAACAACAGUUUGGCAUGUCUCAUAAUUCCUCUACUCCACCAUACUCUAUGCAAGCAAUGAACAUUGUGUUUUCUUAACCCUCACAGUCAAUACAUGGCAUGUCCUCCACUCAAGUUGUUUCUCCUCAAGUUUGGAUUGCUGACUUUGGUGCAACCAACCAUAUGACUGCUGAUUUCAACAACUUGACCUUGGCUACUCCUUAUCCUACUUCUGAAACAGUUCAAACUGCUAAUGGUGAAGGUCUACGAGUAUCUCAUAUUGGGAGUACAAUUCUCAAACCUCAUAUUCAUUCCAUUAAGUUGAAUUCUAUACUAUAUGUGCCUCAAUUGUCUCAAAACUUGUUAUCUGUGCAUCAAAUUUGUCUAGACAAUAACUGUUAGCUAAUAUUUGAUGCAUAUAAUUUUUGGAUACAGGACAAGGCCACAAGGAUGAUAUUGUUCAAGGGAAUUUGCAGUAAAAGGCUAUAUCUAAUACCCUCACUUGCCAAUCAUCAUUCUACAACUCAGAAAUUGAUUUUGUAACCAAAAGCUUUUCUUGGUCAGCUUGUCACAUCUAUUAUUUGGCAUAAUAGACUAGGUCAUUCAUCAAACCCCAUUGUGUCUUUAAUGCUUAGUAAAGCUCAAAUACUUUGUACAAAAUCUUCAUUACCUAUGUUGUGUCAAAGCUGCUUAGAAGGCAAGUUUAACAAAUUGCCAUUUCAUUGUAGUGUCAAUAAGGCUGUUAAACCUUUUGAAGUUGUUCACAGUGACAUUUGGGGUCCAGCACCAUGUUUUUAUGCUGAUAGUUUUAGAUAUUAUGUAACAUUCAUUGAUUGUUGGAUGUUUCCUUUCAUUAAUAAAUUAGAUUUGUUUGACACAUUUGUUGGCUUUUAUUCAUUUGUGUUGAAUCAAUUCUCAGUUUCCUUUCAAAUGUUGCAAAGUGAUAGGGGUGGGGAAUACCUUAGUAACAGGUUUCAAAAGUUUCUUAAAGGAAAAGGCAUUUCCCAUCAAAUAUCUUGUCCUUAUACUCUUGAGCAAAACAGGUUAGCAGAGAGGAAACAUAGACAUUUGGUAGAAACCACCAUUACCCUUCUUCAAAAUGUUUAGUUGCCACCCCAAUUUUGGUCAUUUGGUUGUCAAACUGCCAAUUAUCUCAUAAAUAAGAUGCCCUCUGCAAUUUUGCAAAAUAAGUCACCUUUUGAGCUUUUGUUUGGAGAGUUACCUUUAAUCUCACACUUAAGGGUUUUUGGGUGUACCUGUUAUCCUAUUCUUAAGCCUUACAACAAUACCAAAUUGCAACAAAAAACAACCAAAUGUGUUUUUCUUGGGUAUGCUUCCAAAUAUAAGGGUAUAUCUGUUAUGAGGUGCUAAGUCAAAGGUUCUACAUUUCUAGACAUGUGGUUUUUAAUGAAUAAAAGCUUCCUUAUUCAGCCUUAUUGACAAUAGCUAAUUCUUCACCUAAGACACAUACACAUUUUUCUAUAGCAGCUUCUUUUACAUAUCCAUUACCUAUCAUUAAUAGCCUUAAUGAAUUAGUUACAUUUCCAUCUUAUUCAUCAUCACAUACAUCUUCUAUACCUAUGUCACCACGAUUAUCAUCUCAUAGUCCAGUUGUUACACCAUUACAACAUCUUUCAAUCCAACUUCAUCAGUACCCUCACACACAGUAACCCCAAGUCAUGUAUCUCAGUCCAUUACUGUAGCUGCAAAUUCCUAUCCUGAGAUCCAUGUGGAACUUGAUUUUAGUCUUGAUAGUCUUCAAGUUGUGUUGCCAAUCCCUCCACUAAAUUUACAUCCUAUGCAAACAAUGAGUAAGAGUGGAAUUGUUAAAAAGAAUGCACUCUUGACAACAUUUGAUGAAUUUACAAAUGUUGAUCUUUCUUUGGUGGAACCUGCCACUUACAAGUCCGCACUCAAGGUUCCAGUUUGGAUGCUUGCUAUGAAAGAGGAAUUGGAUGCAUUGUAUAAACAAGGGACAUGGAGUUUGGUUUCUUUACCACUACAAAAGAACCUAGUGGGCUACAAAUGGGUAUUCAAGAUCAAAAAACACUCUGAUGGAUCUAUAGCUCGGCAUAAAACUCGGUUGGUAGCAAAAGGAUUUAGCAAAGAACCUGAUUUAGACUAUGGAAAAACCUUCAGUCAUGUGGUGAAGCCAACUACUGUCAGGAUAAUAUUGGCAUUGGCAACUCAAUUUGAUUGGCCACUUAGACAACUUGAUGUCAAAAACGCUUUUUUGCAUGGAAUUCUUCAAGAAGAGGUAUAUAUGGCUUAACCUCUAGGUUUGUAAAUGCUAAUCAUCCUGAGCUAGUUUGUAAGUUACAAAAGUCUCUCUAUGGGUUGAAGCAAGCUCAUCGGGCUUGGAAUGAAAGGUUCACUACAUUUCUACAUUCUCUGGGGUUUCAAAAUACCUAUUCUGAUUCUUUUCUCUUUCUCAAGCAAGCUAGUGAAUUUGUUGUGCUUUUAUUGUUGUAUGUGAUGAUAUAAUCAUCACAGGGAAUAGUUUUGCAGCAAUUACACAGGUCAUUAACUCUAUAAAGACUGAGUAUGAUAUCAAGGAUUUGGGGCAUCUACAUUUUUUUCUGGGGAUUCAAAUUGCUAGACAUACAAAUGGUCUGUUCUUAUCUCAGACUAAAUACAUACAGGAUCUGUUGCACAAAACAGAUAUGAUUGACUCUAAAGCUUGUGAUACUCCAUGUCUUCAUUUUAAUCGCCUUUUGAAUGAUGAUGGUAAACCCUAUAACAAUCCAACCAUGUAUAGGAGUAUAGUAGAGGCUAUUCAGUAUCUUACAUUCACUAGGCCUGAUAUUGCCUUUUCUGUUCAUUAGGUGUGCCAGUUUAUGCAAGCACCCAUGAAUUCUCAUUUUACAGCUAAGGAUCUUAAGAUACUUAAAAGGGACUAUGCAUCUGGGGUUAACAUAUUCCAAGGGUGAUUUGAAUCUCAAAGCUUUUAGUAAUGCUGACUGGGCUGGAGACCCUAAUGAUAAGAGGUUUACAACUGGUUUAGUUGUCUUCUUAGGUACCAAUCACAUAUCUUGGUCAUUUAAGAACCAACAAACUGUUUCUUGAUUGUCUACUGAAGCUGAAUAUCGGGCAAUGUCUUCAACAGCUGCUGAAUUAGAUUGGAUACAACAAAUUCUGGCAUUUUUGCAGGUUUCCAUUUGCUCUUCACCUGUGCUGUUUUGGGACAAUCUUUCAGCAAUUGCCUUAUCCUUCAAUCCAACUCAACAUCAACGAACUAAGCACAUUGAGAUAGAUGUUCACUUUGUUCGAGAGAAGGAUGCCAAGAAGUAAUUACUUGUUUAGUUUGUUUCUUCUCAAGAACAAUUUGCUGAUAUUCUUACAAAAGGAUUUAGUGCUCAUUUGUGUAAGGCUCAUUGUAACAAUCUAAUGCUUGGUAGCUCCAAGCAUGAGAUUGCGGGGAAAUGUUAGAAGUAUAAGAUUGUAAGGCUGUGAUGAUACCACAUGUAAACAGAUUAGCUGAUCUAUUAUAUUUGUUAGAAGAGUCGGUUGGUUAUGACUAAAAAUACUUAAUCUUGUAAUAGCUUUCUUAUUAAGCAAGAUAUCAAUUCAAUCAUUUUUUUCCUCCUAUUUCUCUGUCUACAAUUCUCUUUCUCUUUCUUUCUCUCUCUCUACAUUCAUAGAAACUGAGAUACUUGGUUAACAUACCUUACCAAAAAAAAGAAGCCAAAAUUCAUACACCUUGAAAAAGUGUCUUCAUUUGUCUAGUAGUACACCUACCUUGGUGCAGGUCAAAGUAGCUGUAGAAAUCUUUUCUACAAAACUGUUUCAGUGGGAAAUUGUUCAUUGCUUGUUUAUAUGGCUUCCACCCACAAUAAUCACACUAUUUCAGUACGCAAGUGCUCUUGCAAAACCCACAUGGUAAAAGCAACUUUGCGUGCUUGGUCACAACUCACAAGGUAAAACUUUAGGGUACAUAAAAAGGGGUGUGAUUCAACCAAAAAAGAAAAAAAAAAAAGUGUGAUAUCUACACACUUAUUUUUACUUAUCAUACACCCUUUUAAUUUUCAGUCGUCGGAUCAGAUGAAUUGAAGAAGAUCAAAUGAUAUAAUAAAUUAAUAAGAGAUGUGUAAGAAGUAGAAAUGAGUGUAUGGAUAGCACACCUGCAUAAAUAAAUGUACCAACUAUAUAUUUUAAGAUAAUUACGAUAUUCAUUAGUAUUACGAAAAAAAUCGUAAAAAAGAGGAUAUGGCUAUUAUACCUUAUAGCAUCGCAGUUAGCCCAAAAUAAAAUCACCAUAGCUGUACCAGUUGUGUACAAAACACUUACGUAUUUCAAAUUGUCGAUCUUGGCUAUUAUACCUUAUAGCAUCGUAUGUAUUUCAUCUCUGCAGUAUGAUCAGGCUGCAAAGUUCAUUAAGCUAAAGCAAUCGCAGGGCAACUCUCCUUUGGCAAGUCAAUGAAAGUGAUUGUAGUUGCAUCAUUCACCAGUGCCUGCCAAGAGGGAGGAGCCCUAUGACUGAUUUGCUUAUUUGACAAGUACUUCUUCUAGCACAGAUGCUUCUGGGUUUCAACAACGGCACUGCCGGCACGAGUUAUAUAAGUUCUUUGAUUUGGGGUCAAAGACUCUAAGUCGGAGAGAUGGAAUAAAAGCAGUGAGAAGAAACAGCAUAUCCAAUGGAUUAUGCUUUGGGAACAUCCAGGAAAAAAGUAGAUGAAAAGAGAUGCCUUUACCCUCCCCAUUUUCUUAUAUAUAGCAUAUUCAUCUUAUUCCUCUACUGUCUUUUUGUUUUAAGCGUUGUUUUUUUUAUGUUUUAUGUGUGAUUACAUUGGAGGGUUUCGAGCCCUGGACCUAACGGACAUUUGCAAUAUAUAUUAUUAGCAUUUUGUGUCUUGAAGACAAAUUCCCCUCACCCUUAUGUUGAAAUUAGCUCCAAAUUUAUUUGACUUUAGUAGUUUGCUACACCUGUGUUCAUUUCAGUCUUACUCGUGCCAGUAUGUAUCUAACUCUUUCUAACCAAGCCAUGAUUAAGCGCAAGCCUGUCUUUAUUUGGUAAUAAUUUUUCAAAUCUUCCUUUUACCAGUCAGUUGUCAAAGUAAUCACAACUAAGGAAAACAAGCCUAGCUAGCACUAGAAAAAACAACUUUCUUGAACGGGUCCUACAUUUAUGGUCAUGUACUACUCACAUGAAUCGCGAUGUAGCAAAUGUGAGAUGCCAGUUUCAUGAAGUUUUCUCGUAGAUGACAGACCAUAUGAAGUAUGAGCAGCCCUUUGGAUCAUCAAGUUCUAGCAGUUGUGUAAUCCGCAACUCCUUGUUGCCUCCUAUCUGGUCUCUUAAAACAGAAUCGGAAAUGCUUACCUUUUGGUCUUAGUGAACUGAAUAAUCACAUGAUGUUCCAAUCUAACUGGAAAUUAUAUAUUUUGGUAGGAAAAUAGAAUAUGACAACAAAAAUAUAGAUUAUUAACUCUUAAGGUUCCAAUCUAUACAAUAUUCAAUCAAACAUCUAUUCCAAUAAUCAUUAAUGGACUUUAUCUUUGGGCAACAAAAGUGAUCACAUCAAUUUUUCUUUUUCGAUCCACGGAGUAAUCUGUCAUGCAGAAUCCUUUGUCCCAUGUACCUGCACCAGAUACAAAGCAAACAUUAAAAAUGCAGGUUUUAUUAAUUUUAUAUAACAUUUUAUUGAAUAACAAGACUAUCACACAUGUAUAUGUACUUACCUUCCGAGCAUCAUAACAGUAGCUUGAGGAUUAGUACCCGGGCUGCGAUAAAACGUCGAUCCAUCAACAACCCGAAGAGAAUCAAUACCAAGAACCCUAUAUCCUUUAUCAACAACCCUUCCAACUUGACAACCUCCAUGAUAGUGCCAUAUGGUCAUCACAGUGUCUAUGCAGAAUUGUUCCAAAGAAAAUGUAGCGUUGGCAUGCUUUCGCCUUCCGUUAACUGGUAAAGUCAACAUCAGGUUAAUGAGAGCUUCAACCGGCAUGUUUUUGUAACGGAACUUUGAGUAGGCUUCGGAGUUCACAACAUCGAUAAUGGUCCUCAUGCCCUCAAUGCACUUCCUUAAGUCUUCUGGUUCUUUGAAGUAGUUAAAGGUGACAAAUGGAUUGGCAUCAGGGUUUGUGUUCCUCAGCGCAAGAUGGCCUGUGGAGAGUGGACCCAUGAUUUUUUCAAGUAUGACUCCGGCUCUGAGAGUUUUAUUGACAAUUCCGUUUACAGUAUCAGCUGCCCAAGCCAUGAUUUUUGGUGAAGCUCUAAAAGGAUGGUGCUCAGGCUGCAAAUGUGAAACCAAAUUUGAAAUUGUGAAUUGGUUCGUUUUUGUUAUAUCUCUAUCUAUUAAAUAAUCCACGUAAUAAGUUAUUCGGGAAAUAUGUACACACAGAAUCUUUGCAAACAUUUUAUAAAAAAAUAGAGCUAAAGUAUACUAAAGAGAUAUUAAUCUGUAUAAACUAUGAUUUGAAGCCUGUUUAUACAAGAGAUUUUUCUGUGACUGGAAUACGGGAUGUUACACCAUGUAUCCCUAUACAAAUUGUGGGAUAUGUGUGUCAAAAAGUUAAUAACUUAAAAAAUAUAAUUUCUAACCACUUAUAUAAAAACACGUGGUGUACCACCCGUGUUUCGGUCACAAUGAAAAAUUUCUCCUAUUUAUACUAUGUUUAGUUAUGAUUGGUUCUAUCUAUGUGUCUAUAGUUACCAAAAUCGUAAGAGCAUCUUUAACAGCUCCCACAAAUGUAACUCUUCAAAAACAAGUUUGUUGCAUUACGUGGCAAUUUGAAGAUUAAAAUUUGCUACUUCACAAUUUUGUUCUCCAAUAGACUCUAUAAAUUUUAGUAUUAUAAUAUCUAAUAUGAAACAAAGUGGUCUUACGUUGUUUUGUUGUUGUUGAAUUAAUUAAUGGAAUAUCGUGAGAAAAGACACUUUAUUGUAAUAGAAAAAAAUGUUUGAAGAUUUGGUUAAAAACUCUCUAAAUCUAGAGUGUAGUACAAAUCCUAAAUUUGAAGAAUGAGUUAGCAACUCUCUUGGAGCAAGGAAAUCCUACAUGGCUCUACAUAUUUAGUUAAAGUGAAUUAAGUUUUUGGAGAUGCUCUAACCCUACCUAUGGUAAUUGGGCCUGAUGUUGCACAAAUGUAGUUAAAUGCUGAGCCCAAAAAUGCAUAGGCUGGCAAGACAAGAGAACAGAAGUAAGAAAUGGAAACCUGACUCAAGAAGUGCUUAAAGUGAUUGGAAAGCCUAUGAGCCAGAGGAAUGGGAAGGGUCAAUCCGCUAGCUCCUUCAAUGUAGCUUUCAAACUUUGUGAUGCCCACAACUUGAACCAGGGAGACCUCAACUGGUUGAGGUGAGGGAAUGAGCAGAAGAUUCAUUGGAUUAUCCGCCAUUCCCUGGCCGACCAUGGGUUGGUCUGCUACCACCUUGAUGCCGUGAGCUCGGAGAUGGAAGGCGGGCCCCACGCCGCUCAGCAUCAAUAGUUGAGGGCUCCCAAUCGCACCGGCUGAUAAGAUAAUUUCAUUCUUCUUGGAGUUCAUUUUUAGGUAUGCAUAGUGCCUAAUACCGUGUGCAUCUCUAUAAAUCACACCAUAAGCUUGUGGUCUUAGUCUUCCUGCAUAAAAAAAAGUAGUCACACCAUAAGCUAACUACUAAAUAAAAAAACUAUAUUUUGCAAUUUUUUUGUAUAAAUAUAUGAUUUUUCUAACAUUAUUGGUCAAUAAACGCUUACCAGGAAUGUGUCUAAACAAGAUUUUUUGUACACGUGCAUUCAAAUAAACAUUGAUCUUUCUAGGGUCUGCAUACUGAAGCAAAUCUGCAGCUGUGUGUCUAUGUCCAUCUGCAUCAAAAAUACUCCCACCAACUUUAGUCCCAUACAAAUGCUCAUAGGUAAACCUAUUGUGAGGCAAGACUCCCACUUCAAGCAAACCAUCUCUGAAAGCAGUCUCCCACUGCAAAAUCUCCGGUUCAAAAGCCACCACUUUCUCAACCCAUUCAUACGACUGAUUGACCAUUCUCUGGUUCCAACCUACUUCCUUGAUGUAAUGUGUGCUGGCACGCGUGUAAAACCCAGCAUUCACUGCUGAGCCGCCACCCAGCACGCGUGCCCGGAUGUUAUAGACGCCAUCCUCGGAGGUGAACUGCUGGGCUGGGGAUGUGGGAGAGGUGUCCAAAAGAGUGGGGGCAAAUUUGUCAAUGUUGAUUAUGUUCGGAUUGCCAUAAGGCGAGCCGCCUCUUUCCAGGACUAAAACGGUGGCACCGUGAGAGAGAGUGGCCGCUAGCGGACACCCUGCGGUGCCUCCACCAAUGACUAUGUAGUCAUAGUGAACCACUGCUGGGGCUGAUAUUGCUUCUCUAACAAAUGUAUAGUCCGGAGCUGCACACAGAUUUAUAAUAGAAAAGAAAAAUUAACUAAAAUGCUCAUUCAUUUGUUUAAUUUGUAACAACUUACGUGUACAAUAUUCAUACCUUUAUCCGAAUAACAAAUGGGAAGCAACAAGAGAAUUCCAGCAAGAAGAUAAGCUCCAAAAAAUGUGGUACACAUUGUGACCUCUAAUAUAAUUAACUUUCCCCAGAGAUAAUAAAAUUAAUUUUGCAACAUAUAUAUGACGAUCUGGGUGUGUUCUUGAAUUUAAUUACCAAAAACCACACUAGCUACUCACCUUUAAAUAAGCCUAAAUCCCUAAGGUCCAGUGCCCUAACAAACGUUCUUUGUGCACAAAAAGAACGACCUAAAGAUGUAGAUACAUUUUUAGUUGAACAACAUAAAUUUUCACCCACUCAUGGAAAGAAUCAAUGCUCUUCAUACACACCAUUUCCAUUUUUGAUCACUUGCUUAAACCCUAAUUAGUCGCUUCCUUGCACACGAAGCACAGUCGUCGAAGUUAUAAAAUCUCAGAUUCAUGGCCCCAUGCAUGCAGAACAUUAAGUAUUACUGAAAUUUGAGGAAUAUAUAAAGUCGUCACGUAAAAUCGAAAUAUUUAUUAAUGGUAUGAAUUUUGGAUUCUAUUAUUGUCCAAUAUAUUCAACUGCGUGCACCGACCCAGUACUUGUUUUUUCAUGCCUUGAUCGAAAGUUUUUGGUAGCUAGGUCUAAUUAAAUGAAAUUAACUUUUUUGAAGUAGCUCAACUGCACGGAGAGGUAUUGGUUGAAUCUAGUUAAUUCCAAGAUUAUCAAUGGAGGUCCUUUUGCGUAGUCAAUUACCUGAGGACCUGACUUGGUUUCAUUUCCAGAUGUAAAUUCUACUUCUGGAUAAAAAAGUGAACAAAGAAGCAUUAUUUUCCUUUCUCUAGGAGGAAAUUUUGUUGGACAGUUCAUUGAGUUGUAAAUAUAUGACUAAUUGCAAUGUUAGAAUGAAUCAAUAUUAUCCUACUCAUAGUCAACAAUAACUCCGGCACAUUCAUUACAUGGCUUUGGGACGAUGCAUAUCGAGAUUAUACAAAAAGUUUAUUUUUUAUUUUUUAAAUUUAUUCCAGAAUAAAAAACGGCUAGCAAACCGAACUACACAUUAAAACGAUUAUACGGAAUCUAGCCCCCAAUUAUCCUAUAUGCAUUAGGAGUACAUACAACUAAAAAGCAUUAACGUAACGUAAAGGAUUUGCAUAUAAUCCCUAAAUGUUUGGCUUAGAGCUUGUUUUGACGAGAAAAUUUGGGCAUGCCACUUUCUAUGUUGAGAGUGUUAUCUCACAUUAAGAAAAGAAGGGACAUUGAAUGUGCUUAUAAGUAAUUGUGAUAUUCCUUAUAUUGUCAAUUAGUUUUAUACUGAAAUCCUAACUUUUUUUUUAUGGUAUCAGAGCAAAUUGUCUUGCAUAUUAAGCUCAACAGCUACAUGUGCUCCAUGUUACCCCUUUUGUGUUGUCCAUGUGUUAAACUUGAAAAUUAGUUACACGUGUGGAGGAAUGUUGAGAGUGUUAAUCCACAUCGGGUUUGCAUGUGCUUGUAAGUUUUUUUUUUUAAAUCUCGACGAUACGAGGAGAAUUUUAUUGAUAUCGAAAAAAAGGUAUACCUAGUCAGGGGAGAAAUAAACCUAACCCCUCAAAAUGCAAGAAAAAAUGAUAAAAAAUAUAUGAAAAGAAGGGGAGACAUCAACCUUAAACAAAAAUAAUAAAGAUACAAGAAAAAGAAGAGGGGACAUGAAACCUAACCCCUCUAAAGCCCAACCUAAAAGUCUAAACCUGCAAAACAAAACAAGCAGCAUCACAAAGUUAAAAAAAAAAGAAAAAGAUAAGAAAGUGAGACAAUAUAAGUAAUUAAAUUACUUUACAUAUUAUAAUUAAUUUUAUGGUAAAAACUCAACUUUUUAUAUGUUAAAAAAAAUGGUCACCUGUUCAAAAAAAAGAAAAGAAAAGGUCACCUUAUGAAGAAGCUCAUUGGAGACGUUCUCCUUGAAAAUGACUAGAGAUAAUAAAAUCACCGAUCGGUAAUCCAUGAUAGCACUCAAGCUAAAGGUUGAGCUCAAAUUGAUUGGUUUCAAAUCUAUCCCAGAUCUUAUUAUAAGCCCAGGGCCCGGUGUUGUUCAGAAAUGUCCGCUUAUGUGAUCUGUUUUUGGGAAAAAGGAUCAUUUUCGAAUCCCUUCCUUCUAAUCCAUUAAAUCAGGAAAUUUGUGCUAUUGAAAUUUAUCCAACAGUUGAAGUUAUUAUAACUUUUAAAAUGAGCCAUUGUUUGUAGCAGUUGGAUCAAAUUUCAAUGAUACGAAUUCUCUAAUUUGAUGAAUUAAGAGGAAGAGAUCCGAAGAUGAUCUAUUUCCUGUUUAUUGGGACCAUCUGUUUGUUUAUUUAGAGCUUCCCCUCGCAUCGAACCUUUUAAAAAAGUACUUCUCGGUAAAAUCACUUGUUAGGUGCUUUAAAACUACAAAUAUAUUUUGUUAUUUAUUAUUAUUGUUUAGUAAUAUUUAUUUUUGCCUCUUAGAAUAUAAAUGUAUCGUCAAAUAAAACACUCUUAACUACGUAAAAACACUUUGAACUAUUAUAAAAACACUUCUGCAUAAAGCCUUUAACUUCGGAGGAAGUUUGGGUUGAGAUCAUAACAAUCUUAUUUUCUCUUAUUUUUUAAUUUGAUUUGCUUGUUUAUUAGUGUAUACAUUUGGUUAUGGUAUGUUGUAUUUUUGCCUAAGCCAAGUCAACUUUAUCCAUACUGUACUUGGAUGUUUCAAGUGCACAGCACGUCGUUGGUUUUGUUGAGAUUAGGUCAUCAAACAUGUAACAUGAUGACCUACCAAAACUAGAUAAGAUGAUUAAUUUACUGCAAAAUCAUCCACAUUCCACACCCCCAUCACCCAAAUGAAACGAAUUAUAGGGUAUGCAAUAUACCCACGAAACAAUCCACAUUUAACACGUACAAAUGAUAACGUAUGCUCAAUAGUAAAUUUGGAAGCAAUUAGCAAGCAACCAAAGAAUAUAUUUUGCAUUAUGCAUGUAACUAUUAUUUCUUUUUCUUGUUUUUUUUUCCAAAAAUUUUUGUAGAAAAUAAUUAGACGAUAUUAGCUCUUCGUCAACAGUACGAGACACAAACUCUCUCCUGAACGAGAAAAGACAGUUGCACCUAAAAAGCCCCUCACAGCCCCCCUUUACUAGAUUUUUAUUAGAAGUACGAAGAAAAAGAAAAAGUAAACCAAGCGGUGUACUAGCCAAUACCCACUAAAAACAACUAACAAAAACGACAUGUUCUUGAAUUGUUGAACGCUUCAUCAAAGGUAUACCUAAGAGAUAAACAAGAUACGAAAAAGACGUCUAAUUGACAGCCAACAAGCGUUUCUCUGCUACAACGCCUAAAGUAAAGUGUGACGAACAAAGCAGUCGAGCGAGGAAGAGUUAACUUAAUUGGUAAUUGUUUUUUCCAUAAUUAUUUCUUUGAUGUUUAUUACUUUAUGUGCAGUUGCCUCUUUUGAAUAACUGUGCUUGAAAGUCUCUUAUCUGUUCUGUGGCGAGCGGCUUGAUCUAGUUGGCAGUUUCCAAAGGUAUAACUGCUUUGUAGUAAAGGUGGUCAACUCUAGUAUCUAAAUGUUGAGGCUUCCAUCCAUAUAACCCAACUAAUUUAACGCGUUCAUGAAUAGUAUCCGUCGUUUUAAUCUCUAAUUACAUAAUUAAAAGAGAUUUUCUAUAGAAAGAAAAUGAAAGAAACGUUUUUGCAAAGUGAAAUAAUCCUGCAAUCUGUUCGACGGACAUGUCAAUUCACAGUUUUGGUCGAUCAGAUCUAUGGCAUGCAUGUUGAAGCAUAUCUGACAUCUAAUGAAGUUAAAAUAUCUUUUUAGAUAGAAUAGUGCCAGUAUCGCUUGUAUCUAGGCAUAGUAUACCAAAAUAAAAAAAUUUGGUUACCAAUGUAUAGUUGCAUUAACAUGUGGCACAAUAAGGAGCCGUCCUAUAUGAGCUAGGAAGUGUGUUAAAGCAUGUUUCACAUCGAAAACCUUAUGAAAUAAAAUCCUCUUAUAGUGAAUGGUUCUAUUAAUAAUUAAGACCUUAUUAUCCUUCAAAAGAAACAUUAUUGAUUUGGAUUAGUAAUGAAGGGUGUAUCUUAAAUUUUGCCAAUGCAAACCAAAAUACAGUUAUGCCUCUAUUUCAAAAUCCAAAAACAUACUGCAAUGUAAUUACAAACACGUAAAAAUAUUUUGUUAUUUUUAAAAAGUACGCACCUAGUCAGGUUGAGAAAAAAGCUUAUGGUUGCUGUUGAGAGUGUUAAUUCCUCAAGAAAAAAGAAAAAGAAAUCUUACAUGUGCUUUGAAGUAAGUUGAUAUGUCUUUCCCAACUGCAUGCCAUAUCUUUUUCGGCGUUACCUUACUCACCAAACAAUUUAAAAAUCUUUUAAUUGUUUAAAUUAUUAUUUUCUUAUUCAUAAAAUUUGUUCUUUCUUCACCGCAAGUACUCAAGGACCUGUCGUCCCAAUCAGAAAUAGCCAAAGACAAGGGAACUAACAGGAAGAAAACAAAAGGUCGUCAAUUGAUGCAUAUUAAUAAUUAAAAUUAAUCCAAUUUUUUGAACAAAAAAAACUAAUCCAAUUUAAGAAUUCAAUUUUAUGACAUAAGAUUUCCUUAUUAAUGCAAAGAACAAAAGUACUAAAUGUAAACAGUUUCAAUUUCCUUGAUAUUUUUUCUUAUACAGGAUACAUAUUACACGGGCUAUCUGGGCUCAUAGGACACCUGUGAGAGUAAAAAUCUCGGAGCCUAGACACUUAGCCGUAAAUGAAAACAAAAAAUAAAAACAGAAGAGUAUUUGGGUGCUUGUUUAUCUGAAUUUUAAGAAGAAAUUGAAAAAUCUGACAGAAAAUUUAAACUAUCCUAAGCAAUGUUAUCUAUGAUUUUCUAUAUAUGUUACAACUUACAAGCUGCUACUAUGCUACCUGAUGAUCAAAUUGAAAGCUUUGAUUUAAAUUGAUGAUCUAUCUAUGCAGCUGAUCGUUUGGUAGGAGUGAUCUUGAUGACUAGUCCAGGGAAAACAUCAUCCGGAUCAUGGAUAUGAGGGUUCCGCUCCACGAUAUACGGGUCGUCGCACUUGUCACUGAUGGUGUGGAGGGUUUCACCUUCUCCGACGACAUAAAUUUCAUCACACGGCCGGUUGAUCAUGAAGUCAUUGAAGUGUUUCCCUCGAACCGAGUUGUUGUCCGGCGUAGAGUUGUUCUCUCUGAUGGAAGCAAACAAGAUCAAGGCUAAUAGGGCUGUGGCGCAGUACCAUGAGGCUGCGUCUGCCGCUUCUUCUGGUGCCAUAUAAAUUAGGGUUUAGAGAUGAUAGAAGUGAAAAAGAUGAGAUAUAAGGUGAUGUGUUUUUUAUGGAGCAGAAAGAGGUCUGAGUAUUUGUAUAUAUAGGUAUAUGAAUGUGGGGGAGAUAUAUUUGUGUUUAUAUGCGAGGAAGAAAGACAGGUUUUUGGUUGGUUGUUUGCGUUGGGAGGAUGUCGGGUUCAACGUGGACUUGGAUACAGUCAUCACCUUCCUUGGCUACUACUGAUUGAAUUAAUGCAAAACGACAUGAUUGGUUUCUGAGGUUUUAUUCAUUUGGAUUCUAAUUUUUUAACAUUUUUUUUGAAUUUGAGAAAGAACCUUCCAUUUGGUUAGGGCAAUUAGAAUAGAUUUUUAGAGGGGCUGCAACUAAGGGGGUGAACAAGAAAUAUAUGUGAGUCAGUGUGGAUGCUAGAUAACCAUACGAUUCUGCAAAUAUAAGGUGCUAAGAUGAGAGGGAUCAACGGUUCACAAUUAAAUAUACUGAUAUUUUCUCUUAAUUUUAUCUUAUUUAAUUGUCAAUUGUCUAAUUAGAAUCUUAUAGGGGUGUGAUAUCCACACACCCCUUUUUACUUCUCUCACACCUUUUUUAUUUUCAGCCGUCGGAUCGGAUGAAUUGAAGAAGAUCAACGGACAGAAAUUAACAAAAGGUGUGUGAGAAGUAAAAAGGGGUGUGUGUAUAGCACACCCCAUCUUAUAUUAUUCAGUAGAAGUAGCUAUGAAAUAAUAUUUCUAUAUACAAAGGGAAAAUUUUAUACAUAAAGCCUAGCUAAUUAAAAAAAUAGUAUUAUGGGAGUUUUUGUAAUUGAAAAUUUUAAUUUAAUAAUUAAAAGAAUUAAAGAAAGGUAGUGGCGGAAAAUGUGGGGUGACAAAUAGUGUGGAAGAAAAAGGCAAAUAGCGUGAGGAAUCGGAGCCCUUCCCCACCCACCACCUAUAAAAAACCUGUAACUAUCAAGUCAUCAAGCAACUAACCCAAAAAGAAAGCUUCACAUUUAAUGCUUUACAAUGACUAGGGAGUAGGAAGCCUUUGACAUUUUUGCACCAAAAGGGUCCUUGAGACUUUUGGACUUAGACUGGUUUGGUAAUGAGGUGCUUAAAAAAAAAAACACUCAUAAAAAAAAGCUGUGAGGGUUUUAGGUAUUUGGUAAAUUGAAAAAAAUUGGCUUAUUUUGGAAGUUGCUAUGAGAAUAAGCUGAAAUCAAAGGAAAAAACGGAAGCUGUUAUUUGCAGCUUUGGAAAACUGGUUUUUUUUCAAAGCACACGGAGCUAUAGUGCUCCUUUAAUGAAAAGACCCACUAUCAGACUGCCUUUUUUUUCCAAAAGCACUUUUACAAAAAAGUUUACCAAACACUCUGCUGAUUUAUUUCACAGCCACUUAUUCUCACAGCACAACCGCUUAUUCUCACAUCAGUUUUUUUUCAAAGCACAGCAAUACCAAACCAGCCCUUAGCCUCCUUGCGUGCUCCAAAUUCUUGGCGUAUUGGACCAGCUGACCCAGUCGCCUCCUCAAAGAAAAAACUUGUGAAAGGGUGUCUCGAUUAUGUCAUUUAUACAUCACUUUUCAUAAAAACAUAAUAUUUUGUAUAUUUUGUUUCAUUCAAGAUUAAUAUCACAUAAUCUUCACUUGAUUUUAGAGUUGUCAUAUUCAGAUAGCAUUGUCGAACAUAUUCUUCUCUCCUCUAUAGUAUAAUUACGAAUGAGCAACACAAGAGCCAAACUAUAUCAUCUUUCUCUUUCUUUCGUUUUAUUAGGGGGUGUGAACCGGUGAACCAAUUUAAAACCAUCAUUCCCGAUUUCCCGAACCCCCAACUAAACCUAGAGAGGAAAGGUUUGACAUUUUAUACGGAUGCUGUAGAAGCAUCCAUGAAUACGAUUGAGUUUUAUCUGAGGGAAUACAACACGGGAUCAUUUCCUCGCUUUGCAUCAAAAGUUUACGUUCACAGUUGGAAAAUGGGUACGAUUAACUAUGUAAGUUUGGCGAUUAAUUAUGUAAACCCAGGAAAGCUAGCGGCUGGUAGUGUAAAUAUUCAGCCACAAAAUUUAUGGAGGGUUUAUUUGUUUGGUAAAGUGGUGAUCCUCAUUCUAUUUGAAUUUGAGAUUUGACUACAAUAUUUACAUAUAUUGAAUACAAUCACCAUCUCAAUGGUUAGAUGAUAAUUAUAUAAAAUACAUAUAGUCACUUAAAUAUUUAUGACCGGUAGAUAGUGAUUGUACUAAACAUGUAAGUAUUGUAGUCAAUCCAGCCAAAUUGAAAUUGAAUAACAAAUUUUCAAUAGUUGGUAAAAUAUUAAUUUGAUUUUUACGUUUUUCCUCUUCUCUCAACUCAAUUGACAGGAUCAAGAUUAAUAGUGAAGGCUAGUGAGCUAUUGAGGCCCUUAGUACGGACAUGGUUCCUCUCCGGGUCUACGUAUCCUAAUCUACCAAAUCCAUGUAUUUGAGCCAUUGAAAUUUGAUCUAACGACUACAAACAGGGAUUCAUUUUAGAAGUUAUAAUAACUUUAGCUAUUAGAUCAAAUUUUAAUAGUCCGGAUACAUGAAUUUGAUGAAUUAGGAUACAUGGAUCCGGAGAGGAUCCAUGUCCCCUUAGUCCUACCAACUUCAGCACAUAGCAGUUCAAUACAAAAGCAGCUAAAUGAUACUACUUUAUCGCAGGACGAUUUCUUAAAGAAAAAAAAUGAUUUCCCAGCUCAUUUUUUGCGUGCUUAAGUAAAAGUAGAGUGAGAAAACCAUUGCAUAUUUUCAUUGAAUCAAUAAACAAUUACAUCAACGGUACAUUCUCAAUUUAGGUAUGAAAUCCAAACAAUGAAGAGGAAAAAGAGCUAAAAAAUGGGCAGUAUAUAUCCAGGACCAUUCCAAGCUUUCAGUUACUUAAAUAGCAACUCUAAAUCAACAGGGAAGGGAAACGUCUAUUGUAUGAAAGCCUUAUUUUUACUUUGCAAAGAGACUAUUUUUAUGACUCGAACCUAUAACCUUACAAUGACAAAUGAAAACAUUAUUGCUAUUUAAUUAGAAGUGAGUUCACGUGUGAUUUGUUUAGUAAAAUUACAGAGUAUCAAGUAUCAACAAGUUGCAUUUGGACAUAGCUUACUUUUGAGGGAACGUAAGUAAGGCGGAAGUCUCAUGUAUAGAAACCAGGGUAGCUUAUCCUCCCACACGACAUGGAUAUAUAACUUUGUAUAUUCAUGGCGGCCGUCCAACUUGGCAAUCAAACAACCCAUUGGACGAUUCUCUAGAAAUUGGUACGUCAAAAGGGAAAGGGAUCCUCUCCGGAUUCUUUUCCACCUAAUUCACCUAGUUCAAGAUUCGGAUCGUUUGAAUUUGAUUAAACGGCUACAAAUAGAGGAUCCUUUUAAAAGUGAUAAUAACUAUAACCGUUGAUCAAAUUUCAACGGUUCGAAUCCCGAACUAAAUGAAUUAGGUGAAAACAAAUCCCGUUAAAAGUCCUAUAUAGGGGCAAGUCGGACUAGAAAUUUCCACCUCGAUCUCAAUAAACAAGCUGAAUUAUAUAACCACCAAAUAUUAGUUUUGUUUUAUCCAUAAACAUAAGGAUAUGUUAAUUUCUAUUGUACACAUAAAAAUCAAAAGAUCAUUCAGACAGUAUAUAUCAUUAGCCAAAACUGAUUAGUACAUUUGGAACACACAAUUAAAGUCUUUUAGCACGACGAUAACAAUUUCAUUAUAAUAUUAUAUUGAUAUAAAUAUUAAAUAAGAUGUUUUGAAUAACAGUUAUGAUGUUCUCAAACUUCAACAAAACAUAAAAGGCAAACUUGAUCAAAUUAAUUGUCAUCGUAGUCGAUUUAGGACGAUGAGAAAUGCUAAAGAGGUUUUCUCAAAGUGAGGUUCUUCAUGAAUUCUCCGCCACCUUAUAUUUUUGACACAAUUCAUGUGCCAACAUUAUAAAAAUGUACCAAAAACAUGAGAUGGCGGAUAGUUUAUGGCGACUCCUACUUUGAGAGUCUUCUUAGCAUUUCUCUUAGGGUGAUAGGUACCCUUAUUUGGAUUUGGUGUCAUUCCCUAAAGAGAAAUGUUUUUGGCACAAUGUGUCUCUCUAUGAACUCUUUGCCACUUCACAGUUUAACGUUAAUUCUUGUGCCAACAUUAUAAAACAUUGUGCUAAAAACAUGAGGUGCUGAAAAUUCCAUAGAGAGCCUUACUUUAAGAGAAUCCUUUUAGCAUUUCUCUUCCCUAAAUCUGGUGUCACCAUCCACAAUUAUUUAGUAAAUAAUAUCUUAGACAUGACAUGGUUAUCCAAUUGCAAUCAAGUAAGUGAUGGGACGCAAUAUAAACACAUUUUUAUCAAAAUCACAUUUUUACACUAAAAAGUCAAUCUUGAUACUAUUCAUUUUAUCUUUUUUUUUUCCUUAUCGUUAAAACUCAAAGUUUUCAAGUUAUUUUUAUUAGUUUUCCUUUAUAUCAAUUGGUGACCUUAGUCUUGAUGUCAAUUAUCCUCCAAACAUAUUUCAACCACAUUUUAGCACUAAAACAAUAUUGUGAAGUGACAUCUUGGUAUUAAUCAUUUCUAUCUUCCACGACAGUAUGACACAAAUUUCCAAUUGGUGUAUAAUUGCGGCUACCUAAAUGGGUGACUGCUAGAUUAUAUUUGUCAAAGCACAAGCCGCAGUGUCAUGAAUAAACCAGCGGCCUUAAAAACUUGAGAAAUGAUGAGAACAUUCUUUUAAAAGUGAGAUUUUUUGUCACUUUAUGUAUUUGACAUAAUGUUUUGUAACGUUGACAUAUAAAUUGACGUUAAACUGUGAGGUAGUAGAAGGUUUAUGAUAAAUCUCACUUUGAGAGUCUUCUUAACAUUCUUCUAAAAAUUUUGUUGCAUUAUAUAUAAUGUGGUUUAUGGAAGAUGAUAAAAGAUGGAAGUAAGAAAUUUUGUGUUAUGCACCAUGUUUAUAAUUUUGAGGAGAUCAUAAUGUAUAAGUUUCUUUAACAAAUAAUUCAUUUUCCAGUUUGAUAAAGUUCAUAAUGGUAGUUCAUCAUUCCGAAAUCGAGAAGACACUGAGGCAUUUCAGUCUCUUUGUGGCCACCAUCGUGUGUUCACUAACAUCAGAAAUCGAACCCAUAAUGUGCCAUAUGAAAUACGAGCCUGAAAUUUGUCAACCACUAAUCACCCCAUGGUGGUCCAUUUAUUUCUUCAUUCAACAAAGUGGAGUGGUAUUGUGUAUAUGACGCUAUACCUAGUCUAAGUCGCAUAGAAAGGGGCACCAACAUGGUACUCUUAUCAGUGGACAUGUAUUAUGAUACUUUCUGUUACAUUUUUUUUAUUGAAGCAAUAUCUUAUUGUUAAUGUAUUGAUAACAUGUACGUACAAUUUUUACAUUACAAUGAUGUAAAGGGCAUAUCGACUUUGUGUUUCAUAACUUGGAUAUUUCAGCCUAUCAAGUUGGUGGCAGCAGAGAGGUCCAUGGCAUGUAAACAAGCACUAGCCCAUGGUUUAUAGUAGGGGAUCUUGCUGGGCCAAGUUUGGACCCAAAUAUGUUAAUUAAUUGUUAAUCGGUCAAUAUAUUAAGCCCAAGCUCAAACAAGAUGGAAACACCACUGGCGGCAAGGUCGAUGAACAACUUCGACUUUUGCCUCUAAUCCGAUUCAAUUUUAACCAAAACCAACGCCGAUACUCAUGAAACUCGCAGCACUCAUUACGCGCCACUUCACCACCUCUACGGCGGUUCAAAAAUCAGAGCGAGUGGCCACCGGACCAAGCACUUUGAGCUCAACCAAAGAGCUUCACGCACACCUUAUCAGAACCCACCUCCAUAAUGACCCAUCAUCUUACAUCUCCGCCGUAUUUAAACAAAGCCCAUUUAGUAUUCGAUCAAAUUGAGCGGCCCACAUUCUUGGUUUGGAAUUAUAUGAUCCGUGGAUGGAUUGUCACAGAGUGAGAAACCAGGUGAAGCAAUUCACAUGUCUCAUAAUAUGUACCUUCAAGGAUUGGCCGGGAAUCCUGUGACUUUUAUAUUCAUUUUCAAGGCUUUGUGCUCGAGCUUCUGAUAUUGGAAAUGGGAAAAGGGUCCAUGGCCAUGCGUUCAAACUUGGGCUCGAAACGUAUCUUUUUGUAUCCAAUGCAUUAAUUCACAUGUGUGCGUAUUGUGGUGGUUUGGGUUUUGCGCAGAAACUGUUUGAUGGAAUGUGGGAGAGAGAUUUAGUCUCUUGGAAUUCUUUGAUAUGUGGAUAUAGUCAGUGCAAUCGGUUUAAUGAGGUUUUGGGUCUAUUUGAGGCAAUACAGGCAGCGAAUGUGAGGGCUGAUGCGGUGACGAUGGUGAAAGUUAUUUUGGCAUGUAAUUACUUGGGUGAACGGAAAUUUGCUGAUUCUGUGGUUAAGUAUAUUGAAGAAAAUAUGUUAGGAUUGAUGUUUACUUGGGAAGGCGUGAUUUGGCGAAUUUGGCUCGGGAAGUAUUUGAUCGGAUGGGUGAAAGAAAUAUAGUUUCUUGGAAUGCCAUGAUCACAGGAUAUGCGAAAGUGGGAAACUUUGUUGAUGCAAGAAAGCUUUUCAAUGAGAUGCCGAAGAGGAAUGUGGUGUCUUGGACUUCCAUGAUCACUUGUUACUCUCAAGCUAACCAACAUUCUGAGGCGGUGAGUCUUUUUCAAGAAAUGAUGGCAGCUAAUGUGAGACCGGAUGAAAUAGCCGUGGCUAGUGUGCUUUCUGCUUGUGCCCAUGUUGGUUCACUUGAUGUGGGAGAGACUGUCCACCACUACAUAAAAACGCAUGGUGUGAAAGUAGAUGUUUAUGUCGGAAACGCUUUGAUAGAUAUGUAUUGCAAAUGUGGGGUGGUUGAGAAGGCAAUGGAAGUGUUCCAAUGGAUGGAAAAGAAGGACUCUGUCUCAUGGACUUCGGUAAUUUCAGGCCUUGCUGUCAACGGUUUUGCAGAUUCUGCACUCGAAUGUUUCUCGCGGAUGUUGAGAGAAGGUGUUCAACCAACUCAUGGAACGUUUGUUGGGAUUUUUUUAGCUUGCGCUCAUGUGGGAUUGGUAGAGAAAGGAUUGGAAUAGUUUGAAAGCAUGGAGAAGAUUCAUGGACUGAUGCCAGAAUUGAAACACUAUGGAUGUGUUGUGGAUCUUUUGAGCCGCUCUGGCAAACUAGACAAAGCAUCUGAGUUUGUACAAACUAUGCCUGUUGGACCAGGUGUUGUAGUAUGGAGGAUAUUGCUGAGUGCAUGCAAGAUUCACGGGAAUGCGGCCCUAGCUGAGAUUGUCACAGCCAAGCUUGUAGAACUGGAUCCUUCCAACAGCGGAAUUACAUUCUCUCAUCGAGUACUUACUCAGGUUCAGAUAGAUGGGAUGAUGCUAUGAAAAUGAUAGAAUUGAUGGGUGAGAGAAAAGUGCAGAAGCCAUUUGGUCGUAGUUCCAUCAAAAUAGAUGGCAUAUUUUCGAACAACCCUCAAGAGUCGGGACUGAUCACCUGAAUGCAUAUGAUUAUUAGCAUUAUCAAUUAUGUGCUCAGCAUCGGAUUGACACGGUUGGUCUUGGAACAGAAGAGAGGCAAGAAACCAUUGUGUACUAUUUACACCUUCAUGAGAUCUCGGCUCCACAGAAUAGUAGCAGCUAUGCGGAAACGACAGUAUGACUGACAGCAUAUGUCGUGUGGAGGACAUUAUAAUAGAUGCAUAGUCAUAUGCGAACACCCUUCACCUGUGGUAUUCAUUAGUGGGUGUUUGCUUACGUCUAUACAUUCAUAUUAUAACACGUAGAUUAGUAAUAUUGUGCGGUGAUGAAAAAAAUGUUGACAUAUAAGUUAGCCUUAAUUACAACCAAUCUAGAGGUUUUCAAUGCAUACGGCUUGUCGUAUGCGCUCAUAUUAUUCUCAUAUUGUUCCAUACGGUUGUAAAUAUUAUAAAGAGAGAUUAAUUUGUCAAUUUAAAAGCUUGCUAUGUUAGAUGACAAGCCUUUAUCAUUCCCUCCUAGGGCCACCUAGGUGCUAGGGGGCUGGUCGUCGUCUCGAUUAAUCUCUAGGCUUCUGAAAAUUAAGAAAUGACACCUAGACCUGCCUAAGCACUCAUAUAGGUUGAGACUCACCUAGAUAGACAGAUAACUUUCAUUUUGUAUUUUAUUUUUUCAAUAAAUAAACCAACUAAUCUAUAUGUGUGUUCCUAUGUUUUCAGUAUGUUCCAAUACCUCAUAAUCUAUAUGUCAUUUUAUAUUGCAAUUUAUAUAUCACAAUACAAUUAUGUACUUUUUAAGUAUAAUAAAAUAUUAAUUUUCAUGUUAUAUAAUAUAUUAAUUAAAAUUAAAAAAAAACCGUCUACGUCCCACCUAGAUGCCUAGGCGUUAAAUCUUUGCUUGCCGCUUGACUAACGUGUUUUAGAACCUGAUGAAAUUGCAUGUGAAUCAUUCUUCACCCUUAUGCCUUUUGUUCUUUUCUUUUAAUAAGUCAAUGUCCAUUUCAUAUCACAAAGCUACAAGAACCAUAAUUUAUUAAUAAUUCAGAAACUUAGCGUAGUUCCUAUCGUAUCAUAAAUUGCCGUAUACCUAUCUUAGACAACUAUUAUAAACCGACAAGAACAAUAAGCUAUCAGAAAUUGAGCCGAACAACGUAUAUCAAGAUAACAUAUAUUCUGCAAGAUAUAUACAAUACAACAAUGAAUAGACCUCGCAUAAGGUGUUAAAAAAUAAACCAACUAUAUAUGUCACGCCGCUGCACUACGUCUACCAACUAAUUAUUAAACCAUAUAGUAGGAAUCCUUAAACACAUUUGACUAAUAAUUAAGGUUACAUCAUUAAGAAAAGGCAACAAAACGAGCAUUAUCUCAUAAGCAUGCAUCCUUGCUUCCACUCAAAGUAGGGCAUUUGAAAUAUUAUUAUUUAGGGUUUGGCAUCAUGAGAAACAGUUGGUGCCGACUCGUAUCUGACUAGACACUAGCGUGGCAUACAUUACCCCUUAUUAUUGUUAUUUGUGGAAUCCAAUUAUUGACCGUACUAUGACAGUUUUGCAGAUUUAAAUCUCCCAAUCUUCGGGGACCAUCGUGUGGGUGGGAUUCAACUGUUUCAGAAUAUCAUCCCAUAUAUUAUUCACGUGGAUGUUAGUCAGUGCGAGGUGUGCCGCAAAACCUAGGCUGGCAAUAGAAGGACUUAUGGGUGAAGAAUGAUUUGUAUAUGAAACGAGAAUGUAAAACUAGUUGUAUCUUAAAUCAUGCAUACAUUGCCAUGUAGAAAGACAUGCAACGCCAUAUAGAUGACAUACAACUCCAUGUAGGAUACUCAAAUCACGAAGCGUAUUAUUUUUUUGGGAUGUUACAUGAAAAAUCUAAAAUAAAUGAUUUCCAGGAUGCUAUGAUGACAUUUUAAAAGAGAAGGAAUUAUAGAAAACAGAAAUGUGUCAGCACCUGAGAGGCCAUUCUCGUGUUGAGUUUGUUGAAUCUUGUGUUGAGUUUGUUGAACAAACGAAAUUAUCUACAUUAAAGGAGAGAUGAUGGGCUUAGCCUCACAAUGAGUUAGCAAUAAUGUGGUUUAAAUUAGUCUUUGUCGAUAAUCAAACUUAAGACCUCUCACUUACAAGUGAAGCGGAAUACCAUAAGACCGUAGUACUAAGUAGCUCUCGUGUUGAGUUUGUGACACUACUGAAUCGCUCUCAUUUCAGACAUUCUAGCUGGCUAGGGUUUCAACUUUACCUAAGCAACUCCCCCCUAUAAACCUGGCAGCAGAGAGAAAACAUCGAUCGAUCUAUUGGAUAUAAUGAAAAAGUUAAUUUUCUUGUUUGUAAUUAAAGAGUUGAUAUUGGAUAAUUUGGUGAUAGCAUCACUAGUUAAAGAAAAAUCAGGAUUAUUAGGAUAAUUAGGCCUAAUUAGGUGAAAUAUUCAAAUUUGGGUCAAAGAAAAAUGAGGUAUUUGAUUUGUAUCCUUUUUUCUUAGAAGAAGCGAUAACGGUAUAACGUUAAGAAAACAUACAAUCUUUAAGAAAGACAUUAUAGAGUAACUUUGGAGUUAAAUUGGUGAAUCAGCAUGUUUUUUCUCAUUGGAUAGUUUUUGGAUAACCAUUAUAUUUAAUCAAUAAAAUUCUCCCUUUUUGUUCCAAAAAUUAAUAAGAGGACUAUAUUGCAAUUAUCCUAAAUGAUCUCACAUAUCAAAUCAUCCCAUAUUUGAGGUAAUUACUUCAAAUAUGUUUCUUGUUUUGGUUGCAUCAUCCAAAUCAUCUUUCAAAGCUAUUAAAUUACUAAUCAAAUUAAGUUCUAUGUGGGGACAACAUGCAAGGAUGAUACAGACGAGAACUUACGUGAAUCUGACUCUGCAUUUCGUGGAAUACACUCACCAGAGUUCUGAAUAUCCGUUGAGGAAAAUCAUGCAUGCAUAUUGUGCUUGCCUUAAUUCAGUUACUUCCAAAAAGGCACAAUUUUAUCCUCGUUUUUGUGUACUCUGGAAAAAUUAGUUAUGCUUAUUUUUAGCUACACCAUCUAGCACACGAUUCAAUCUUAUUUUGUUAUAUGUAACUCAAAAGUCACAAUUUUAUUAUCUGAAUCUCAAAAUUCGCUUCACUUUACCUUCUGAAAUUUGAUUUUGAUCUUAGUUUGCCUCUUGAAACUUGCAGUCGUCUCUAGGAAACUCAAAAUUCGCUCCACAAUGCCUUAGAUCUGUUAGUUUCUUAUGUGGGUAUGACUUGGAUGAGCUAGACUAAUCAAAUUUUAUUUUAUUUUCUUCAUCUCUUCAAUUUCUUUUAAACUGAAUAUUCUCUGAUUGUUUAAUGAUGACGCGUAAUGGAGGUUUAUAAUCAAAUUUAUUGCACAUGUGACAUAACUUAUUGGGUGUUGGAUCUCAUGUAUGUUUUAGGAGGCAACCUAGAAGUUUUAGGGAGAAGAGAGAGUCGACAAGUCAAAGUGGAAUGAAUUUUGAGUUUCAAGGAGUAAAGUGGUCACUUUUAAGUUACAUGGGGUAAAGUCAGAUUAAAAAGGAAUUUCAGGGGACAUAGCUAAAAAUAAGCCAAUUAGUUACUACUUAGUGGUAUUUGUGGGAAAUUUUUCUGUGUAACUGUAACAUAAUUUGGUGUAGCAAUAGUUAUAUUCGUAUUGUGUAUGAAUAACAUCACGUGACUGUAAUACUCGAAAUUUCUUGUAUGUGAGGCAUAGGAAAGGAAACUAUGAUCCCAAAUUCGUUGCCCAUAAAUGAGGAGUAUAUGCAAACUGUGAUGUAACAGUCUAACAAUGGAGAUCCCAUUUUGCAAAACUAUAAUAUCCAUGGGGUUCUAGUUUUACGGGAGUGCUAGCAACUUUUGCACUAACCUUUGUAAUUGGAUCAUUUCACUGUACCUAUCAUUUUCUUAUGGAAAAACAAAAUGUUAAUGCGUAUGUGUCUUUGACAAAGAAUUAAUGAUGAAAAAUAAAAAAAUAAAAUCUCAAAUACAUUAAAGGUCUUGUUUUUGUGUAAAAAAAAAAUACACUUGUUACUUGAAAAAUGAAAAGAUUCAAAUACAAAAGUUGCUAGAAUUUCUCUUCAAUUUACACCUUAUUUUGAGACAACUUUCAAAAUAGCAAAUGUAGCGAUAUCUCAAGUUUAUAUCGUGCUAUUAUGUCGUUAGCAUUAUCCACAUAAGGGUUGAAAAUUCAUGUCCGGGAGAAACUUAGGUCCAAAAUCCCAAUACGGAUGAAAAUUCCCCAAGAAAUAGACGAAUAUAUCCAAAAAGUGUGAUUGUAUGCUUUUAUUUAUGGCAAAUUUGUGCAUUCGAUGAGGACGAAUCACCUACGUAUAAAUCCAAAGUAGAUAAUACUUUGGUUUUGGAUUAUUCUCGAUAGUGGGUAUAAAUAUAUGCAUAAUUAGAAUAUACCGUAAAUGUAUUUAUUGGGUGCUCUAUAAUUUCUAUAUUGCAACUUGACACGAAAUCUUAUUUUAUAAUUCCAUAAGCUUGCUUGCUUUCAACCCUAGUAUAAAUAUUACACCAAGAACCGCUCUGUUCCCACACAAAAAAGAAACCUCUCCGUGCCUGCCUUCUUUUAUUUUGGGUGCAAUUUACUCUGUAUAUUUCAAUCACAUAAAAAAGCAAGCAAAAAAUGGGUAAGGGAGGCAAAGCUGCUGAGCCAGAAAACAUGGGUGCUUGGCUUCUUGGUGUUAACAACAUCAAGAUCCAACCUUUCAAGCUUCCCAGUGUUGGUAUGCGCCUUCCCUAAAUAUUUUAGUUUCGUCAUAGUGUUCUUUCGGUUUUUUGUCUUCAGUCGAGAUAUUUAUGAUCAUAAUGACUUACAUCUCGCACCAUUUUCUUGGGAUUUCUUAAUUUAGGGGUCCAUGAUGUUCGAGUUCGGAUCAAGGCUGUCGGCAUUUGUGGAAGUGAUGUUCACUACCUCAAGGUUCAUCUCCCUUCCAUGUCCUUUCCCCUGUUUUUAAUAUCUAUGGAUUUUUAAAAUUUUAUUUUUGUUCGUUUUAGAUGGCAUUGUUCAUUCCUGAAAUAACAAUGAAACCAAAGUAGGAACGUUGAUAAUUUUCUCUGUUAUAUCCAACAGAUCAGUACCUAAUCACUGUGUUUUUUUUUGGUUUUUUUUUUUUUUUUUUGCAGACCAUGAAGUGUGCAGAUUUUGAAGUUAAAGAGCCAAUGGUAAUUGGCCAUGAGUGUGCUGGGAUCGUUGAGGAAAUCGGGGCCGAGGUGAUGCAUCUCGCUCUGGGCGAUCGUGUGGCAGUAGAACCUGGAAUCAGCUGCACACGGUGCCAGCAGUGCAAAGGUGGAAGGUACAAUCUUUGCCCGGACAUGAAGUUUUUUGCCACCCCUCCGGUUCAUGGUUCCUUGGCAAAUCAGGUAAAAAUGUACACAAUAAUAAAAUUUUAUAGGCUUUGCGCCAGAUUGAUAUUGUAUUAUCACAUGCAUUAAUUAGGCUUGUGUAAUAACCAUUUCGUUUAACAGAUUGUGCAUCCUGCGGAUCUGUGCUUUAAGCUCCCGGAGAAUGUGAGUUUGGAGGAAGGGGCAAUGUGUGAGCCCUUGAGUGUUGGGGUUCAUGCUUGCCGGAGAGCCAAUGUGGGACCGGAAUCAACUGUCCUGAUCAUCGGAGCCGGCCCCAUCGGUCUGGUUUCGGUGCUGGCUGCCCGUGCAUUUGGGUCACCCAGAAUUGUCAUUGUGGAUAUGGAUGACCAGCGUCUAGCCAUGGCGCAGUCUCUCGGUGCUAAUGACACUGUCAAAGUUUCGACAAAAAUGGAGGAUUUGGAUGAUGAAAUUGCCCAGAUUAAGACAGCCAUGAAAUCCAACGUGGAUGUGAGCUUCGAUUGUGUCGGUUUUAACAAAACCAUGUCAACAGCUCUUGGUGCCACCCGUCCCGGCGGCAAAGUUUGCCUUGUCGGAAUGGGACACGGCACGAUGACAGUCCCACUUACUCCGGCUGCUGCCAGGUACAAAGCGAUUCCAUUUCCUGUCCUUUUUUCUAGCUUUCUCGAUAAAAUCGAAUCGACCCCUAUCUUGUCCUACAUCAAUAACUUAAGUUUUUAGGCAUUGUGGAUCAAAAGUGUAACUGCAAGUAUACGCUUAUUAGAUAAUUAGGGUUUUCUCGCCUUAUCUGAUAUUAGAGUUUUGUCUUUUGAACACAGGGAGGUUGAUGUUGUUGGAAUUUUCCGGUACAAGAACACAUGGCCUCUUUGCCUCGAGUUUUUGAGAAGUGGGAAGAUCGACGUGAAGCCGCUCAUUACGCACCGCUUUGGGUUUAACCAAAAGGAGGUGGAAGAAGCAUUUGAAACCAGUGCCCGUGGGGGAAAUGCCAUUAAGGUCAUGUUUAUUUUGUGAAAGAUGAGUCACGAGUUGGUGAAUUUCGGACCCUUGAGAGGACAAGUUGUGAUGGCUCGGAAUAUCGGAAGUUCAUCAAUCUCUGAUGAGAAAUGGAGAUGCAAAACUUGUUGAUGUACAGAGAUCAUAUACCUUCAAUAAACCUCAGCUCCGCUAGUGUUUUUUUUUUAAUGUUUUAAUUUUUUGUGAUCUUACUUUUUACAUGAGUCUUUCAAUACCUAUGAACUAUAUAUGUAAGAUGAUGCCUAAAGGUUCUUAACUACGAGGCAUAUUAUUAUUAUUUUUUGACACAAAUGGUUUUAUUUAACACAAGGCUCAUGGUUGUGGUGUAGGGCUUCUCCCAUUUCUUUGAAUCCUAGAUGUUCUACAAAAAUAGCCACAUACUCUUGGCCACAUUGUUGUUAACAUAUAAAUAUCAUUUAACUCGUCAAGGAAAAUGAGGAAUUCAAAACUUUGGACUUCUUUCAGCAUUAGGAAGAAGAGAACCAUCAAGCUAAGAGUUUGUCGGUGCCUCGCAUUUUAGUUGAUGAUAAACCUCAUUCGUGAAUGGAGGAUUAUGGGGUAACCAAAUGUGACUUAUGCGCGAGUUAGGUUAACCAAAAUGCAAUCUAUAUUAGCAUUCAAAGAGACUUGGCCGCAGUGAUUUUAAUUGAUAAAUAUAAAUGAACUUGUCCAUUUAAAAUUGUAGUAUUUUUAUCAACAAAAAAGGACGAGUUCAAGUUCUGGACCUCUUCUAAUAUUACGAAUAAAAGUAUCACUAGACUAAAAGUUAGAUGGUACUUCGUGUUUUAUUUUUUGGUCAAGUGGCUUCAUACAUAGAUGCAUCGUGAGGAGGAUUAUGAGAGAUACUUACAACGCGAUCGAGGAGGAUUAUGAGAGGUACCAAUAACGUGACCCAUGCACAAGUUAGGUAAAGAAAAGGUAAUAAAUGAUGUAGAAAGAAAAAAAAUUGAAAGGGACCCUUAAAUAAUAUCUCCCAGCUAGGAUAUGUUGUAGAUGCAGGAGGAUCCUUGCCGGAUCUUCUUUGUGAGAAUCUUAAGGAUCAUUUAAUCACAUCCGUUCAUCGUAUAUCAUCCAGUCAGAAAUGAUUGUAAAUUUUUUUAUUUAAAUUUGAAUAUAAACAGUACCUGACAAAAACUGACGCAUAAUGUACGAUGAAUGGAUGUGAUUGGAGGAUCUCUAGGAUCCUUACAAAGAGAAUCCGACGAGAAUGCUCUCUCGUUGCAGACAUGCUCAAAAUAACUUCCAACUUCCAACUUCCAAGCAAGAAAAGUGACAAACCAUGUAAAUAUUAUAAUGCGGGACUUUCCCUAAUUGUAGUAGAUCAUAUAAUGACUACUCACCAUCCUUCAUCUUCAAAACAUGGUGUGGACAUGACAUCUAAGUCUUUCCCAAGCCUGAGGUAAAUAUUUUUAGCAAAUGUGGUUACAUGUCUUUUCAAGCAUUGUAAGUGUUUUUUUAAUUUUUCGGUUAGUAAAAAUAUACUUGGUCUCUUGCAUUGGUAGAACUGUAUAGAUAUCAUCAAUGCAUUUCUUGUCAGAUGACACUUGAUAUUCAUCAAGCUGCAAAACAGAACCAUUUCAUCUGUAAACUUCCAAAUGACAUGGAUUAGCUGUGUACUUUGAAGCAACGCCACUUCGGGAAAAAUUGAAGAAAAUUUCAUCAUCACAACUCCGUUUCUUAAUUCAAACACAUCCAUUCACAUGUAUAUUUUGUUUGAGCUGGUCAUUGCAAGGGACUCCAAGCAUUUUAUCAGUCAUCCCAGCUAUCCCAAGUAAUCUCAGUAAUUCAAGAGAUCAUGUGCAAUGUAACCCUCAACCCUGCGUAAUUAAUGGCUACUACCCAACGCAGAUUGACACGUACACACCAUGCCAUAUAUGUGUGUGACCGAACACGAUAGGAAAACAGCAUCAGUAGUCAUUUACACAAGAUGAGGUGAAUAAAGCAUUUAGCCACCGAUACUUGUGUUCGUGCAUGGUGCAUGUUACUUAGAUAAUGCUUCAAAAUCUCCGGGUGUUGAAGAGAACCUUGAUACUAGCUCUUUACGAGUUCAUGAUGCUUCUCUUCAAUGGUUUGUGCAAACUCAAGAUUUAUCUACUCCAUAUGCCGGUUCAAUGAAGGGGCAGCUAGCCUGUAAGGCGAUUCCCGGCAUAAUAUAUAUUGAUCUCUCAACAAUCCAAAAGCAGCCAGAGGGAAGGGUAGGAGAUGACAGUUCCAAUGACCCAUGGGAUAUCCAGCAAGAGAGAGAUAUAUAAGGUCUCUUAUGAAGGAGGAGGAUUAUCUUCCUUCCUAAUCUCUCUUUCCUUCCCUCAUUUCCUAUUUAAACGGUUAUAAUUAAACCACGUCAUCAUCUUGUAUUGAUUUUUUAGAGAGAGAAAGAAAGACAAAAAAAAAACGGUGAGAGGAAGAGUGGGAAGAAGAUGAGAGAAUCCUACUCUCUUAAUUUGAAUCAGUCUUGCCCUCACUAUAUUUUCAUAGCCUUAGGAAAAUGUAAUUUCUCUGCUCCAAGUCAGCUGCUUCCACUGUUUUUGUCUUCCACUGUGAUCAGAGAGUAUGAGUUUUGUAAGUUGCAACUUGCAAGUGACUUUGUUCCUUUCGUUUUUAUAUAUACAUAUAUAUAUUUGCCCUACAUCAUCAAUACAUUAACAUCAUAAAACUACAAUAUGCCUAGUCAUUUUCUUAUCAAAUAAAUAAUUUCAUAAAACAAACUCCAACGUUACAUUAAAGUCAUCUGCAAGACCAAAACACACACUAAGAGUUCAACAACACAAAACUAUUGGGAAAGACAACCACAUCAACUAAACAACACGCGCGCAUAACCACAACUAAUUUUAAUCACUAACCAAGCCCAAGAAACCCAAAACCCUAAAACAACCCAUAAAUAUCUAAAGCAAAUUUCCGCCAACAAACCAAGGAAAAUUAGUUGAGCCGGGUGCAAUGGUGUAAAAAAGUCUGCCCAACAACCCUAGUCAUUGGUCAUCCAGAAAUUAAACCUAAACCUUACCUUAUCUUAAACUGUCGUUAUGUUUUUUCACAUUACCAAACGUCAAUGAGAAGAGAGGGUCUUCUAUACGUACGGCACCUGGAAUCCUUGUAAGAGAGGGUGAGAUAAAAAAUGGGCCAAAAUUAGCAUGAAAAAUCAGGAAGGGUGGAGUAAGCGAGUGUUGUUUGUGUAUGGAGUGAUACAUAUAUACACGUGGUCUGGUUACUGAACCUUAGAAUUUCUCUAAUGAGAAAGCCAUUUGAAUCACCAAUAAAGGUUCUUUAGAAUGAAAAGGCUAACAAGAGUAGCAUAUUCCACCUUAUAUAAAUUGCACCAUUCAAGUUAUUGCUUAAGACUUUUGACUUCAAUUUCUCAUAAUGAUGUAGUAAUAGUCUCAUGCAUAUAGGAACCAUCAAAUAUAUUUAAUUGAGUUUUAGAGCAACACAAAUAAUUAAGUAGUCAUUUAAGAACAUUUUAAAUAUUUUUGGGGUAGAUCAAAAGUCCAAUUCGGAUUAGUGUUUCAUUGUGUUGUAUUCCUUACAAAUAUAUGUACUAAACCCUUGAGAAAGGAGACUUGAAUGAAUUAAAAUAUAAUUUGCUUAGUGCAAUCGAAGUGAGUUGUUUCUUCUUCUAAAAUCAAGUUUGAGACUUGGUUAUGUCGAGUGAAUCCACAAUUAGCAACGUGAGUGAUUUUCGUUGCCCCUGAUUGAGUGAUUCACAAGUAUCUAUCUCUCGUUCUUUCUAUUUUCCUCGGUCCCAAUUUAAGUACUUUUGUCUAUACAAAUAGAUCACUUUCGCUACAUCUUGAGAAACUUAUCUCACACUGUUUUAAUUAGGGAAAAUAUAUAGGAUCAAAGGCCAAUGGAAGAUGGUGAGUGCACUCCUUCGGCAAACCUAACCCACAUAACAUAUGCCUUGAAAUAAAAUAUAAAAUAAUUAAUUGAUACCAAAAUCACAAUAACCCGUAGUAAUUCUUUUAUCAAAAUAAAUAAAGAUAAACGUCAACAUGACAUCAAAGUUAUUUACAAGAUGAAUACACACCAACCAAAAGGACAACAUCACACUCACAACAGGCAACAACCUCAUCGACCACUGAUUAAAUAUCACACAUAACCGAAAGAAGCUUAAUCAGUAACCAAGCUCAAAGAACCCAAAACCCUAAAACAACUGAUAAGGCUAAAGCAAAACAACUAUGGCCACCAUUUGAAAAGAGUGCCGGCAUCAAACUCGAUGCAUCUAACUGAAAAUAUUUUGUGUAACAACGGGAAUCAUUCAGUCCAAUAACCCUAGUUAGAUUUAGAUAUGGUGAUCGUUUCGUGUUUAUCAUAUUUGUGUUGUUUUCGUGACAUACUUGAUGUUUAAACGGAAUGUGUCUUGUCAAAUCCAUUAAAAUGAACUGGUAAUAUGACCCGACUCAAACUCAACUUGUUAAAAUUAACAAGUAUUAUGACCCGACCAGUUACGUAUUAAAAAAUAUAUAUUUUGCUUCAAUAAAUAACCAAAUGAAAAACGUUAUACUAAAUUAGUAUUUACAUACCAUGUUGUUACUAAAUUAUAUCUACAUACCCUAAAUCUUAAAAUCCUAAACCCUAAACUCUAAAAUUCAAACAAUGAUGUAACCAUCAUCAAAGCAUAAAGAAUGUGAUCACGAAUGUUGACAAAAAAAAAUUUCACAUUUUUCGCACUUGUAAAUUAAUUUUUAUGAAUGUUUUGAUGUGCUUUGGUAUUUUGUAGGAAAAGUCAAUUUACUUUAAAAAAUUCUUCAUGAGCGGUCAAAGUUGACCACCCAUGAUUGUUGAUCAUCGUUGACCGACGUUGACUGUUGACCACUCAUGGUCAAUGAUUAACGGAAUGAUCCAAUAAUAGCCUGAUUAUUUAAUGUGUUGACCAUAAAUCCGAUACUUUCGGGUCGAAUUAAUGGGUUGUGCAACAAAUUCUUAGGUCUAGUCAAAUUAUAGUCAUCCGCAAUUCCCUAAUUAAGCAUAUUCCAAAAGGAAAAAAAAAACUAAUAUAUGAAUAUCUACCAUAUUAAGGUAUAUUCCACCUUAAUUAUAAAAUUGCUCUAUUCCAGGUUACGAUUUAGACUCAAAUUUGCUCUUAAACACUUUCGACCAAACAAAGAGUAAUACUAGAGAUACUCAAUUUGGAAAUUAAAUUUUAGAAACUAAAGGAUAUAGAAGUUGAUGAUUGAUUUAUUACUUAAAUAUUGAUAGACGUGCUCAUUUCUAAUUUCUAUUAGAUACAUUAUUUAGUUUACAAUUUUAGUCUUCAAAUUUAAUCUUCUUAACAUUACUUAUAAAUAUAUAGAUCACUCUGGCUACUUCAGUAGAAAUUUCAUCCAAAACUAAUUUAAUAUAUUUCCACUCUGUUAAAAUAAGAUGAAACCCCAAUGGACGAUGGUGAGCACACUCCUAGGACAAACCUAACCCACAUAUAUCAUAUGCCAUGGAAAUAAAGAAAAAAAACUUGCAUAAACGAGGAUCGUUCGUUUCAUGCAUGUUGGAUAAUACAUGAUUACAAACAGUUGUUUCCUACGCGUAGCUGACUGUAUAUCGGCGUGGAGUCAUCAUCCCUGUCCUAUUGCUGUUACUGUUCGCUGGAGGAGAUCGGGAUUCGGGAGGUAUCCAAUUAUUGACCGUACUACUACAACUACUACGGCGAUUUUUGACUUGACAUGCUGCAUAUGUUAAACAACUUUGGGGACCAGUUGCAAAUUCAGCGGUUGGAAAAAUCUAUCACACAUAUUUUUGACGUGGAAACUAGUCACUUGAUGUAUGAUGCUUGCCAGAAAACAUAUAGGCUGGCAACCACAGAGAGAGAGAGAGUGACCAUCUAAUUUAACAUAGCAAACUUUGAGAGUCCAUCUUUUUUUUUAUAUAUAAUUAAAUUCUAUUUUUGUCGGUAAUUUAUGUGAAAUAAUUAACAUUAGAUAAUUAGGAUUAGGAUGUAAUUUUUUUUGCCGGUAAUCAGACAUUUACAAACCCAAGAACAAGAAGAUAAAUCUAAGCAAUAGUCGAUUUAGGACAGUACUUGCAGUGUACCCAUCCUCCUCAUUCACUUAGGGAUUUUCGAGUAUCAACCAGAACAUAGUAUGUGGUGGGAUUCUUAGUUGUUGAAUCCUUAGCUGGUAGAUGCUUGGAUGCACAUUUAUUUGUUUAUUUACACUGUCUACGAUAUGCGGGGGUUUAUUAUAAAAUUUUCGCACCCAAUGCAUCCACCUCAUAGGUAAAUCUAUUUGACCUCCUAAAAAUUUUGUUUCUUAAUCAUCGUCUAAACUUCAUUUGAAUUUAAAAUCUUAAAUUGCUAACCAAGAUAAAUUGUUUUUUUUUUAACGUUUUAUGUAACUGUGUCUAAAUCAAAACGCCCCUUUUAAUUUCCUUAUGCGGCAAGUAAUCCGAAGUUGUCGUAAUUUUUGAAGGUUUCCUAUUCAUAUAUAAAGAUUAUUUGGGUAAGUAUUUGAUAAUCAACUAUUGAAUAAGGAUUUGCUUUUGGGUCAAAAUGUGAAUGAGAUUUUAUCCGAUAUGAUCCCUUGUACCAACGCAGGUAAUUACAUCAAAUGUAUUUCUUUUUGAGUUGCAAAGAACCUUAAUCCUAAUUUAUCCUUUAAACCUACCCAACUACAAAUGGAAAUUAAAUAAUUAAGAUGUGGGACCACAAGGGACGGUUGCUACGUGUAUCUGACUCUGCAUGUCGUGGAAUCGAUUCAGCAAAUGCAUAAUAUCCGUUCAUUCCGGCCCACGCCUACUCUUUUCGUAAUUGUGACUUCGAUUCGGCUGCUUCCAACAAGCUCGUAAAUAUCAAUCCCCAAAUAUUAUUCUGUUUCUUUACCAAAAAAAAAAAAUAUAUAUAUAUAUAUAUAUUUAUUUAUGCUGUUUAGAAAAAGAAAAAUGCUAAUAAGACUUCUUCAAAAGAGUUUUUUUAUAGACUUUCCGUCAUUUCAUAUUUUUAUUAAUUAAUGAAAUUUUUUUUGUCAAUAAAAAAAUGAUGAAAAAACAAAUUAAUCUUCUAUCACACACAAAAAAAAUGAUAGACAAUAAUGUAACUUCAUAGGUCCAAAUUUUGCUUUUUUUAUUGAAGCCUCACAAGUGAUGUUAAAAUACCUCCAAUAUUAAAAAAAAAAAAAAAAACCCCCCCCCCCCCCCCCCCCCAACGUUCUCUCUCUCUCCCUCUCUCCUUCUAAUUUUCUAAAAAAAUUUGUAGACAAAUACUAGUAUUUUAUAAGUAGACUUUUUUAAAAGCAGAUUGUUUAAGUUUGAUUUUUACCAAAUGCAAAUUUGAACUAUAUUAUUACUAAUUCAUUAUGAGGUUGAGCCUAUCCCCUCUCCUUAGGAUAGAUAAUACCAUUUCUUAAAAAAUUAUAUAUAUAGUCUCUUUAACAUCACUGUAAAUAAAAAUUCUGCAAUUAUACCAAUCACAAAAGGACUUUUUUUUUUAUAUUUUAGAUGACUUAUUUCUUCCGUAUCAAAAUAUAAUUUACAAAAAUACUUUAACUUCUCGGAUCAUUGUUAAAUGGUAAUAUGGAUACUUCUCCUUUUCCGUAAAGUAAUUGGAUAAUACAGUUUGGUUUUGGAUAGCUGUAUAAGGGCAACUUGACCAAAUCACACUCCUCCAAACUCAUAUAAAUACCAUCCCGCAUCCACUCUAUUUCCAUCAACAAAUCAAACAAGUCCGUGUAUUCCGUGUAUUCCGUGUCUUCUGUGUCCAUUUUAUUUGGAGAAGAAAGAAGUUUGUGUCUUCUAAACACAGAUAAACGCCCUAGAAAAAACCAGAGAAGAGUAAAAAAUGGGCAAGGGAGGCCAAUCCUGCAAUGGCAUGGUUAGAGAUGUCAAACCUGUGGAGAAGGAAAACAUGGCUGCUUGGCUCGUUGAUGUUAACACCAUCAAGAUCCUACCUUUCAAGCUCCCCACUAUUGGUAAUAAUCUCUCUCCUUUUUAAUUUCGUUGUUGUUCUGUUCGGUUUUUAGUUUCAGUUUGCAGUUCUAUAUUUUUUUUUGUUUUCUUGGAUGUAUAGCUAACUUGUUUUUCCCCUAUUUUGUUGGGAUUUCUUUAUUUUAGGACCGAAUGAUGUUCAAAUUCGAAUUAAGGCUGUCGGCAUUUGCGGAAGUGAUGUUCACUACCUCAAGACCAUGAAAUGUGCGGAUUUUGAGGUUAAAGAGCCGAUGGUGAUCGGACAUGAGUGUGCUGGGAUCGUAGACAAAGUUGGGAGCGAGGUGAAGCAUCUGGUGCCCGGUGACCGAGUGGCGGUUGAGCCCGGCAUCAGCUGCGCACAUUGCCAGCAGUGCAAAGGAGGCCGCUACAAUCUCUGUCCCGACAUGAAGUUUUUCGCCACCCCACCGGUUCACGGUGCCUUGGCUAAUCAGAUUGUGCACCCUGCAGAUCUGUGCUUUAAGUUGCCGGAAAAUGUGAGCUUGGAGGAAGGGGCAAUGUGUGAACCCUUGAGUGUUGGGGUUCACGCUUGUCGGCGAGCCAAUGUUGGUCCUGAAACAACUGUUCUGAUCAUCGGCGCAGGGCCUAUUGGUCUGGUCUCAGUUUUGGCCGCUCGUGCUUUCGGGGCACCAAGAAUUGUUAUAGUGGAUAUGGAUGACAAGCGUCUAGCGAUGGCAAAGUCUCUCGGGGCUGAUGACACCGUCAAAGUUUCAACAAAAAUGGACGAUUUAGAUGAUGAAGUUGCCGAAAUUAAAAAAGCCAUGAUCUCCGAAGUGGAUGUGACCUUCGAUUGUGUGGGUUUCAACAAAACCAUGGCGACCGGCCUCAAUGCUACUCGUCCUGGCGGAAAAGUCUGCCUUGUCGGAAUGGGACACGGCCUGAUGACAGUGCCUCUCACCCCUGCUGCUGCUAGGGAGGUCGACGUUGUUGGAGUUUUCAGAUACAAGAACACAUGGCCGCUUUGCCUCGAGUUUUUGAGGAGUGGGAAGAUCGACGUGAAACCGCUUAUCACGCACCGUUUUGGAUUCACGGAGAAGGAGGUGGAAGAAGCGUUUGCAACCAGUGCUCGUGGGGGUAAUGCCAUCAAAGUAAUGUUCAAAUUGUAAAGACAGUGACAAGUUUUGUUUAUCAAAUUCUUAGUAGAAUGUAGAGGGUGGGUGAGGGUGGGUGGCGGUGGGGCUCGCGAUGGGGGUGGGGGUGGGGAGAUAUUAUUUACGUCAUCACAAUAAGCACGUUCCAUUCCAUUGUAUGGUUUUUUAAGUAAUGACAGUAUUACUUUUCGUGGGCUUCUCGUUCUGUUUGUUUUGUAUAUUAGUCCUGCAACUGCAAAGCUUAACAAAAGGACUCCUUACCUGUUUACUAACUUAACCUUUGAAAUAGAGUGCUUUAGAUCCAUUCCAACGUUCUAUUUUUUCAUCCAUGGUGAUAUCCGACUGACCAUAAACAGUGGAAAAAAAUUAAGGGGUGUGCUAUCUAUACAUCUCAUUUUACUUCUCACACUCCUUGAACAUUUAUGUUUGUUUAUUUUCUUCAAUUCAUCUGAUCCAAUGAUCGAAAAUUAAAAAUAUGUGUGAGAAGGAAGAUGGGGUGUGUGUGGAUAUCACACCCCUAAAAUUAAAAUGUUAUUUUGCCACCCAUUAUUAACAAAAGCGAGAUAAGCCAUAUGGUUGUUCCCCAAUAAUUGUGGGUAUUGAACAAAAAUGCCACGGUUGGUAAGCCGAUGCCUCAAUAUUCGUGGCUAUAGCUUAAUUUUUUAAUAGUUUUUUAGAAUAGUAAGAAAAGAAAAAUACCCUUGUUCUUAAGAGCAUUUUCAAAUGAGAUGUCAAAAAGUCCAUGUAACAUCCCACAUCAACCAACGGAGAGGGGGUGAUGUGCCUUAUAUGUACAUGCCCACCUCCAUAUAGCACGAGGCCUUUUGGGAGCUCACUAGUUUCGAGUUCUAUCGGACCUCCGAAGUUAAGCGAGUUUGCGCGAGAGCAUUCCUAGGAUAAGUGGCCCAUUGGGAAGUUCUCAUGUGAGUUCCCAAAAAAUAAAACCAUAAGGGCGUGGCUGAGGCCUAAAGCGGACAAUAUCGUGCUACGGUGGAGCCGGUCUGGGAUGUGAUAGAAUGGUAUCAGAGCCACUUUGCCGUUCGGUGCGAGUGUGCGGACGAGGAUAUCGGGCCCCUAAGGGAGAUGGAUUGUAACAUCCCACAUCGACUAACGGAGAGGGGGUGAUAUGCCUUAUAUGUACAUGCCCACCUUUAUAUAGCAUGAGACCUUUUGGGAACUCACUGGCUUCGGAUUCCAUCGAAACUCCGAAGUUAAGCGAGUUCGUCACUAUGAGCGCAUAGGCGGAAGCCGUUUGCAAGUCCGGAUUAUAACGGUAUAGUUAUAGAAGUUUGAAAUUGGUUAUUUACAUUUUAGAUUAUAAAUAAAUUGAACUCCCAUCUUGUGGAAAAGAAGCCAAUCAGAUUUAAGCAAGAAAAUAAGGGACCAAAUCAAUUAAAGUAAGGGAGGACCAAUCAAAAAAUUUGAAAAAGAGGGAGUUAGCCAAUGAGGAGAUGAGAGAGAGAAGCUCUCAACUUCCCUUCCCGUAGCCCUUCACACGCAGAAACCUGAUUUUGACCCGAAGUGGUUUCCGGCGGUCUUCCACCAUUUUUCAGGCGAUUCAUUCACAUCCAACACCUGCAACUUCUUCCAUCACUUCCCAUCUACCAUUUCCGCCCAAAAUUGAAGGGUUUUAGGUCCAUUUUUGUGUAGAACUUCACCAGAGAACCCGGAGGUCCUCGAUGGCGAUUCGUCGAUCCGGCGAGCUGCACCACCCUUAAUCAAUUUCCCUUGGACCCAAGAACAAGACCCAACCAGUGAUAGGGGCAUUGGAACACCGAGGAAUGAGAAUCGAAGAACACCCACCUUAGGUUUCCGGUGGGUGCGAGCUAAAUUGGAGUUUUUCCAAGCCAAAUUGGACUUGGCCACAGGUAUAAAACUUUCUCUACUCAUUGAGAUCUUCAUUUCUAUGAAAUUUGAGAAUUUUUAGAAACAGUUGAUUUUUCCGGCGAGUAGGGACGGCCGACCAUUAUGUACGGCAGUGAAUGGGCCGAGGUAUCCCCUAACCUUCCUAGGCUAAAUUUGAUACCCCAAUUCCAUAUGUGAAGUCCGAUUGAUGGAAUUUCAUCGUUUGAACAUAGUUAUGAUACAAAUCGUUACUUGAUCCUUAUAUGAAUUGACGAUCCGACCGUUGGAUCGUCACCAAACUUUAAUACAUUAUAAUACAUAAUAUUUGAGGACAAUAGAAACUAACGGAUUGGGAAUCCGACAAACGGAUCUUCCCGAACUGGAUUUGUAAGCUCGUAAAAUGAAACGUCGGUCGCCACUUAAUUCUAGCAAUUGGCGGAAAUCCGACCGUUGGAUCGUAAUGAAAUUUAGUAUGAUGUUCUAGAAGCAUAAUGUGUAUCUUGAGGAUGUAUUUUAUGUAAAUUACAUGUUCUAGUGAUAAGCAUUCUAAGACGUUAUUUGAUAAUUGUUCUAAGCGAUGAUGAUUCGUGAUGCCUCGAUAUUUGUGCUAGGGAAUUGUAGCACGGACUUCAGUUGAGUGAGUCUUUUCCUUUUUAUAGUAUAUAUAUGAUUGAUAGUUCAACAAAUGCUUUUAAAUUGAUUUAGGCAUUUUAUGCCAUGUCAUAUAUAUAUAUAUAUAUUUUAAAUACUAUCAUAUGGUUGAGUUUUAAAUUGCAUCAUGGCAUAUCCAUAUGCAUAUUACCUGCAUAUAAUUGUUGUGAAUGCUUGGAAGUGUUAAGGUGAACGCGGGACGCUCAAGUAAGUUCAGGUGAGUUUAUGGUGUUAUUUGAAAUGAUUGAGUUAUGGCAUGACUAUAUUUAUGCUUUAUGCAACUCCAACACUGUCGUACAGGUUGCAAUAAUAGGCAACUCCGACCUUGUCGUACAUGUUGCAAUAAUAGGCAACUUCAACAUUGUCGUACAUGUUGCCUAUUGAGUAGUACAAGUUGCCUUAGGCAACUCCGACUCGUGUGUUAUCAUAGAUUGAUUUAUGAGUCGUAUAGGUUGCCUUAGGCAAUUCUGACUCAUGUGUCAGCAUAGAUUGAUGAGCACCUGAUUUUAUUAUACCGCUGCUGAUAUGUAGUGAUUUGGAAUAUUUCUGGAUUUACUGUUGAGUUGCAUUUGAUUUCAUACUUAUAUGUAGUAUGAUUUUUUGGAAACUAUACAGGUUUUACAAUAAUGGGUUAUAACAUUUUCAAAAGGUUUUUAUUAGAACUUUAUUUUCAGGCCCACUCACCUUUGUUUUUUCCCCAUCCAGGUUUUAAUAGCUGAGCUUUCUUAUUGACGAGAAUUCGUGGCAAAUCUUGGUAUUAGAGAUUACCUUUUAUGGUACGAUUCUCAAUCUACUCUACUGUACUUUACUUAUACUCUGACUUCACGUGUGAAAUGCGUUCAUUCAUGCUCAUAGCGCACUCUUCUAUUUAGGCACUUUUAGGUUUAAAUUCAUUCACAUUUUCCACAUCACUACACUUUAUGGCUUCGCCACCUUCCAGGUGUCGGCCAACACAACUUGAUUCGGAGUCCUAGUGGACAAUCCAGGUCGGGAUGUGUCCAUGCCCUCACGGUUUUAUUUUUGGGAACUCACACAAGAACUUCCCAGUGGGUCACCCAUCAUGGGAUUGCUCUCGCGCGAACUCGCUUAACAUCGGAGUUCCGAUGGAACCCGAAGCCAGUGAACACCCAAAAGGUCUUGUGUUAUAGGAGGUGGGCAUGUACAUAUAAGGCUUAGAGGAUCCACUCCCCUGGGUAGUGUGGGAUGUAAUAAUAUUAUAACAUCCCAUAUCGACCAAUAGAGAGGGGGUGAUGUGCGUUAUACGUACAUGCCCACCUCCAUAUAGCACGAGGCUUUUUGGGAGUUCACUGGCUUCGGGUUCCAUCGGAACUUUUUAGUUAAGCGAGUUCGCGCGAGAGCAAUCCUAUGAUGGAUGACCCACUGGGAAGUUCUCGUGUGAAUUCCCAGAAACAAAAUCGUGAGGGCAUGGUCAGGACCCAAAUAAGACAAUAUCGUGCUACGGCAGAGUCGAGCUCGGGAUGUUGUGGGGGGCCCGGGCCGGGAUGUGACAGUCUACAUCAACAAUAACAGUAAUAAAAGACAUCACUAGUGUUUUCCAACCAAAAUACAAAUUCCUAUGUGACAUGACAUAAAAAUGCAGCAGAUAAAGUUGCUGUCAAAUUUGACAACAUCUUCAAAUCUAUUUUUAGUAAUUAAUAAAUACCUUUUAUAAUUUUUUAAUAGUUAUCUUUUGUUUUAAAAUACUAAUUACAACUAUAAAAAGUAAAUAAUGUAAUAAAUAAUAGUUUAAAUUUGACAUAUCGGUUGGAGAACAGAAUUGAUACAAAGAUCGAUGGGCCACAUAAGCCUUCAAAUUUAAAUUUGUGUUUAAAUUUUGACAUCUCCUUUAGAUGGUCUAAAGCAUUCUUACCUAACAGGCUACCUCCUUUGCUCUACCGAAUACUCUUGAGCAGUUUUUCUACCCUGCGCAUUACCCACAUGCAAAUGCAUUGCUCAUCAACUUCUAAAACCUGAUCACGAUCACUUGUUUUCAUUUUAAAAAAAAAAAUGAAAGGCCAAGAUUUGAUUAAGUGAGCUGAUGCUCAAUUUCUGCGCCCAUGUAGGUGAUGCGCAUGAGAAAAAUUGUACUCUUUAGAGCAAAUUUUUGUUAGGCUUUUUGGGAUGCAAAGGAAGAGGUCUAAGACUCUAAGUUACAGUUCAUGUUCGACAAAAAAAUUGUACUAUGGAUGGAAUUAUGCAACAAUAAGAAUAUAUAUAUUUUUUUUUGUCAAAUAACAAUAAGAAUAUAAGAUAGUGUUAGGAAUGUGCAACCGGACAAAAUAAAAUAUCUUAAAGCAAAAAGGGUUGACAUGGACUCAAAAUAUAAGUGCAAAAGAGCUAUUUUAUCAGUGGAGGGCAUUUUCAAUAUGUGACAUGGCACAACUAGAACAAAAAUAAAACCGCGUCGAGAGAAGAAUGAUGGCGGGAUUUAGACCGGAAUUACUCGUAAAUCGGCAUAGACCUCCUAAAGUGAAGAUUUAGGACAAUUUUGAACAAAGUUUUUGGGAGGACUAAAGUAUAGUCUAAUUUUGUUGUAAACAUAAUCAAACUCAAGCGUAAGCUGGUGGAUCAGUUUAAUUGUAACCACGAACAUAGUGAAAUUCUUCAUAACCUUUCCAAGCCUAAAAUGAGUGGAUAACCGUAGUUUUCCAUCAGUUGUUUUCUUUUUUAACAAAAUAAAAAAUGCAAGAUAGAGUAAGCUUAUUGACUUGUUCAAGUGACUUUACUCACAUCUACUAUAAACCCUUCAUUCAACACAUAUGACCAGUUGUUGUUGAGGCGGGUUUGAGUGUGUAUUGCCGUGGCAUUUGUUAUCCAACUGUUAUUAUAACUAGGGUUCGAAUUGUUGACCGUCUAGCGGCCCUCUGACAUUCAUACUCCACUUCGAAGAAACUUCAUCACUGAUCUUUGAUGCGCCGAGUUGGCAACAGAAACCCCAAAGGACGGUUAAUCUGACGGUUAUUAUUUAAUGAGUUUUCUUUGGUCCUUGGGAUGUUCACAUUGCAACAUUUAUGAGUAAUUUAGUCGUUUGACAAUUUAGUUUGCCGACCAAAAGAAUUGAUAAAUAGAUCAUACAUUUUUAUUUGAUAAACUUCAUGUUUAUACCAUUCGCUAAAAUAAAUAAGACUAACUUGCAUCUUUAAAUGGUGGCCAGGAAAAAGCUAAAAUGUCUCUGUGAGUCUUCACAGCCUCAAGAAUAAUGGUUUGCCGUGGCAAAGCCACCAAUUGGUCCAUUUUGAUAUAAAAUAAUAUAUUUUUAAAUAGUAAAUUAUGUUGAUUGAUUUUAACCAAUGCGUCUUAAAUUCAAACACUACCAUCUUCUCAAAGUCUAAAUGAAUUUAGUCGCCAAAAUAAAUAAAAGAUUUAUUUGAUGGAUCCCACAUAUCAAAUGAGUUUUUUUUUUCCAACAUCAAAUGAGGGAAUUUCUCCAAUUAUGUUUGCUUCUUGCAACCCUAAUCUUAGUUUAUGAUCAAAAUUGCCAAGCUAUCUACCAAAAAAUUGAUUCGACGUGGGACCCACGAGAUGGGUAAAGAGUAUGUUUGCUACAUCAAUCUGACUCUGCAUGUCGUGGAAUCCAUUCAACAGUCCCUAAUAUCCGUUGAUUAUUUGUUUAGGUGCGCCCCUACACAGAUGGUUAAGUUUCAACUUUGUCUCUCAAAUAUUACAAGUUUGAGACCUAAUUAUGAUCAAUAGUUGUGUGACAAUUUAUAUUUAUAUUUUUUAGUAUUAUCAUAUAAAAAAAUAUAAUGCAAGAGAGACUUUGUUUUAUAGAUCACAUUUAAAUGAGUAAUGCAAGAUAAAUUAAAUUUGUAGAUUAAAUGAUAUGUUGCUAAUAAAAAAAAUGAAACAUUCAUAAAAAUGGUUUGGCCUAAGUUUAUCUUAACAAAAAAAACCAUGUUAUACCUUUAUUUAAUGAAAAGACUUAAAUUUUAAUGAAAAACCCUUAAACUUUAAUAAAAAAUAAAAAUAAAAAAACUAAGAUUUUAAUGAAAAAAGACAUAAUUCUAAUAUUAAAAAAUAUUUUUAAAAAAAAAACUGACGCACGAGACCUGCUCAUCUCACACAUACUGUUUAUGAAACUUACUAUAUUGUUUAUAAAACUUAACGGUACUACAUUGUUUCUGAAACUUACUAUAUUGUUUAUGAAAUUUACUACACUGUUUAUGAUAUUUAACGGUACUAUACUGUUUAUGAAACUUACUACACUAUUUGUGGAAUUUAACGGUAUGAUACUGUUUAUGAAACUUAACGCGCACUAGGCACACAUGAUUUUAUUUUAUGUUUUUUUUUCUUUUUGUCCUUAUCAUUAAAUAAAGUUAUUAGAUGGUUUUUGGUUAAAAUGCAAAGUAUUGAAGUCAUUUUCAUUCAUUUUCCUAAAAAAAUAAGCAUGUUAAUCAACAUUUAAGUAAUAAUCAAAUUAUCAAACUUCCAAGUCAUUUAGUUUACACAAUUUAAUCUACAAAUUUAGUCUCCUAACAUUACCCAUUUAAAUUAUCUUUUUAAUAAGGGAACUUUAACGAAAAGUACCCGGUACUGUUCACUUUAACGAAAAACCACAUUUUUACACUAAAAAGUCAAUCAUGAUACUAUUCACUUUACCCUUUAUUUUGUCCUUAUCAUUAAAACUCAAAGUUUUCAAGCCCUUUUCAUUAAUUUUCCUUUUUAAUAAUCGUAAGGUUCAUAAUAGAAAUAAGUUUCUACCUCCAACAAAGAGAUGGAGCAUUUUCCAAACAAACUCGUAAAAUCUAACUUUAAAAUUUUAUUUGUGGUUUCAAAAUUACAAAUUGGUUGGGCUUCUGAGAUUGAGAACCGCAUCUCAGCCAAUUACGUGUGAUAUUCCAGAUGUAGACCAAAGUUUCGUUCCAAAGGAGAUACCACUCCCAAUUUCAAUAAGACGCACUUAAAUCUAAAAGUGUGAUUGUAACCAAUGAGGGUCAUAUUUCAUAAAAAAAUUACCUAUCCAUUCUACAAACGAUGUUGUUAGGGGGUUAAAUUAUUAAAUGUUAGGGAGGGAAAUCAGGGGGAAACGAAACCGCACUAAAGUGCAUAGGCAUUAUUCAUUUCCAUCGCUGCAAUAAAGCAUCAUAUGCGAUUAUCAUAUUAUUAUGUGUGUUAUUAAUUUAUGUAUUAUAAAUAUUAGUAGAUUAUAUUGCUAAUAUGAGUCUACAGCAGGGAUUAACUAGUAUACACACAUGUUAUAACAAUAAUUUAUAUAUAACAACGUGACAAUGAAACUGGACAAUUCAAAAUAUGUAUAAAUAAAUCAAGUUGCCUAGUUUUAUACAGCUGUGACAACCACAACCAGGUGAUCUUGUAUCUUCACGGGCAUCCUAGACUAAUAUAAAUACCACCCAGUAGCAACGCUAUUUCCAUCAAGAAAUCAAAGUAGUCUGUGUAUUCCGUGUAUUCUGUGGCUUCUGUGUCUAUUUUAUUUGGAGAAGAAGUAGUCUGUGUCUUUAAAACACACAAAACACUUCAGAAAAACAGAUAGUAGUAAAAAAUGGGUAAGGGAGGCCAAUCCUGCAAUGGCGUGGUUAGAGAAGCCAAACCUGUUAAGCAGGAAAACAUGGCUGCUUGGCUUGUUGAUGUUAACACCAUUAAGAUCAUGCCUUUCAAGCUCCCCACUAUCGGUAUUAAUCUGUCUUCUUUUUUUGAAUUUAGUCGUUGUUCCUUUCAAAUUUCAGUUUUUAAGUUUCCGUGCUCUCUGUUGUAUUAGCUAACAUGUUGCUCCCUAUUUUGUUGGGAUUUCUUUAUUUUAGGACCGAACGACGUUCGAAUUCGGAUAAAGGCCGUUGGCAUUUGCGGAAGUGACGUCCACUACCUCAAGACAAUGAAAUGUGCGGAUUUUGAGGUUAAAGAGCCAAUGGUGAUCGGACACGAGUGUGCUGGGAUCGUAGACAAAGUUGGGAGCGAGGUGAAGCAUCUGGUGCCUGGUGAUCGCGUGGCGGUUGAGCCCGGCAUCAGCUGUGCACGGUGCCAGCAGUGCAAAGGAGGCCGCUACAAUCUAUGCCCCGACAUGAAGUUUUUCGCCACCCCACCUGUUCAUGGUUCAUUGGCGAAUCAGAUUGUGCACCCCGCGGAUUUGUGCUUUAAAUUGCCGGAAAAUGUGAGCUUGGAGGAAGGGGCAAUGUGUGAGCCCUUGAGUGUUGGGGUUCAUGCUUGUCGGCGAGCCAAUGUUGGCCCCGAAACAACUGUUCUGAUCAUCGGAGCAGGGCCUAUUGGUCUGGUUUCAGUUUUGGCCGCUCGUGCUUUUGGGGCACCAAGAAUUGUCAUUGUCGAUAUGGAUGACAAGCGUUUAGCCAUGGCAAAGUCUCUCGGCGCUGAUGGCACCGUCAAAGUUUCAACGAAAAUGGAGGAUUUAGAUGGCGAAGUUGCCAAGAUUAAAGAAGCCAUGGAAUCCGAGGUGGAUGUGACCUUUGAUUGUGUGGGUUUCAAUAAAACCAUGUCCACAGGUCUCAACGCCACUCGUCCCGGCGGCAAAGUCUGCCUUGUCGGAAUGGGACACGGCAUGAUGACAGUGCCUCUCACUCCUGCUGCUGCUAGAGAGGUUGAUGUUGUUGGGGUUUUCCGAUACAAGAACACAUGGCCGCUUUGCCUCGAAUUUUUGAGAAGUGGGAAGAUCGAUGUGAAGCCGCUUAUUACACACCGGUAUGGAUUUACAGAGAAGGAGGUGGAAGAAGCCUUUGCAACAAGUGCUCGUGGGGGCAACGCCAUCAAAGUCAUGUUUAAUUUGUAAAGACAGCUACAUGUUUUGGUUAACGAAUUCUUAUUAGAAUGUAGAGAAAGGGAGAGGGGGAUUAUUUGCAUGUCAUAACUCAAUAAGCAAAGUUCCAUGUUUUUUUUAAUCUGUUACGAUGAAGCUUAAUAGAAACCGCUUACUCAUUUACCAAGAGCGAGAAAUUCCAGGGUUAUUGCCCAAGAAGGGUGGCUAUUGAACCAAAAUGCCACGGUUGGUGAGCCGCGGGUCACAACAUUCGUUGCCAUAACCGAACUGUAGGAAAGAGCACGAAAAGAAUGGUCUUUUCGGUACUCUACUUGAAUCAAACUUUUUAAACUGAAAAAUAAUUUUUAAAGUUUUAGGCCUUAAAAACUUAUUUAGUAGGACUAUUUUAAAAAACUGAACUUAAGUUCUCUAAAAACAUAAAAAGUGAGUUUUUAGAGUUUUUAAACUUAAACUCACUCAUUUCUUUUUUCUUCCUCCCCUCUCACUCCAAAUCUAUCUCUAUCUCUUUUCUUCUUCUAUCUCCUCUGUUUUUUUUAUACAUUUUUCGUCUCUCCUCUAAUUCGCUCUCUUCAUUCUCUCGGUUCUUUCUCUCACUGUUUUUCCUCUCUAUCUCGUCUGAUCCUCUCACUUCUUUCUCUUUCCUUCUAUCAUCUCUUACUUUCUUUCCUUCUCUCUCCUCUUACUCCCUCUCUUGCGACUCCCUCUCUUGCGGCCCCCUCUUUUUAGAUCUCUUUGUUUAAUUUAAGUCGUAAGAUUUAAAAAUUUUAAAUCACAAACCAAUCAAGUUUUUAAGUGUUAAAGAAAAUUGUUUUUAAGAAAUGUUCUUAAGAAAUGUUUUGAAAAAUGAUAAAAAAAAAAUUACAAAUAAGAUACCAAACAAACCCGAAUAUUCUUCAAGGUUUUGAUUGAAUAAUAUGAAAGACAACGCCAUAUCACCAGGGAAAAAAUGGUUAUAUAGUUUACCUAAAACCAAGACUUGCUAGGAAUCCUAUGUGAAACUUGCGAGAAAAAUAACAAAACUACAUAAUAUCCUCAAAACUAAAAAUCCAAAUUUGACAUAGCAAACAAAGGAAUUUAACCUAUAAAACCCAUAGAUCACAAAUUAUCAGUGAGUUUGACACGUGACACCGUUUUCGAAGAGAAAACAUAUUACGGGCCUAAAUCCGAGUUGAGAGCCCAAACCUAUGUUGUGUGGACCUUGAUGUUCUAUUUAGGCUUAUCAAGUUGAUCUUCGAUGUUGGAACUAAAUUCGAGCAUAUCUGCGGACGAAGACAGUGUUCAAUCGGAAUGACCCAUGAACUCCGUAGAAGGGUGAAUGGGGUUGAUUAUGGGUGUGAUUGAUUCCAUAUCGGAUUGCCUACAUAUCUCUGGGAUUAUCAAAUCACUAUUAUUGUUGAAGAAAUGAGUAUCUAUGAUGUGUACGACAUCAAAACACAUCAUUGACGAAGGUGCCUUGGCUUAGGUGCGUAAGAGAUGUUUUUCCAUGUCUACGCGUAGACGAAGGUGAGCAAGAGAUGUCUUUCCAUGUCUACGCCUGAGAGAAUAUGUGCGGAAAGAAUGUGUGUUAUAGCUAUUAGAUGAUCAGAGAGAAGUCCCAAAUAAAUACACAGGGUAAGAUAUUUAUGAGAUAUUGAGGGAGCAAUCCCUAUUUAACAGAAGAGACUAUAUAGGAGGAAAUCUAGGAUAAGAUAUUCAGUUAUCCUAAUAUUAUGAUUACAUUGCAUAAUCCACAAGAUAUCCUUAUUUGACUUGAAUUAGGGUUUCCUUACUUUGGAGACAAGUAAUAUAUUUAACGGGCUUAGAGCUAAUGGAGUUGUGAAGGAUUACCUUAUCAUGUGGUAGUCUGAUCCGGAAUACCCCGUGUAGCUAUGAUCUCACUUUGAGGACUUUCGAGUCAUUCUAACCACCCUUGUCUCAUGAGCCUAGAAAAAUCAUGAUCCCACGUUCAAGUUAUUCUGCCAUCUAUUGUAUCCAAUAUCAUGUCGUUCGAAAUCAAUCCUUUUUUUUGUCUCUAUCUGUGCUCUUAGCAUCGGUUUAGCCACACUGCUAUUGCUAUAUGGGAAUCAUGAAUCAUUCUUUAGUGCUAGCACUAAGUAAGCAAUUUUACAUCUCCCUAUGAUCGAGUAAUCAAACUACCUCUCUCUCUUCCUCAACAAGAUCUAGGCUUCGCUUGUCCUGAUCCUUAACUAAUUUCAAAACUAGAAUUGCUUCUUUUAAAUUUUGAAUUUGAGUUUUAAUUUUUUAAUUUCUUUUAAAACUCAAAAUAAUUAACAACCAAACCAAACCAAACGACUUCAGAUAUACAAAAAAAAAUUGAUUAGUAAAAUCUUCUUCGAUUCUCAUGGUAUUCCUCUUCACUUGGAAGUGAGACGUCUUAUAUUCGAAUAUCGUAGAUGACGAAUUCAAUACCAAAUUAGAUUGCUCAUUGUGUGGCUUAGCCAAACUCCUCAUUUCCUUAAUGUAAAAAUAUCGAUGUAUUAAAAAAAAAACUUCUUCGAUUCAAUUUUUACCGUAAGUACAUCGAAUCGGGGAUCGAUUUGAGGAGAAAGACGGAACGCGAGACAGAAGCUGUGGCUGGUGUGGUGGCUUAUGGUGCCGUAUGGUGGGCGGGGGAGCCUCAUUAGCGACAGUUGUUGCGUUGGCGUAUGUUAUUAUGAUUUCUGGGAUACAAUUGUUGACGGCCUCUUUGACUUUCAUGCUGGACUUGAAUUGAUAAACUUCACAAGCUGAUGCUGCACUUCAAAGAAACUUCGUCAUCUUUCAUGCGCCAGAAAAUUAGGGUUGCAAACAGAAGAACCCAGUUGACCGUUUAUUUUGUUUUCUGGUAUAUUAUCCGACGGUUAUUAGUUUAAGAGUUGGUCGGUAGGGUGUUGACAUUGCCAUUGCAAAAUUUUGGGAGAAAUAUUUUAGUAAUUUGACUAUAUUGAUUUUAUUAAUCAGUCUUUUGCCGACAAAAAAUUAGAUAAAUAAAUCAUACAUUUAUUUCAUUGGCUAAAACAAUUAUUAUUUUAUUUUUUUAACCAAAAUGGUUCAUAAGAUUGGCAUAACUUAUGUAUGGUCAUUGAGAUUGAAAAUCGAUAGAAGUGGUAACUAAAUUUGUCCACGGUCUAUUAUUUUGGUCAUUAUGUGAAUUUGAGAGUGUUUUUGUCCAGUCAACACCUCUACUUGUUUUUUCAUUUAGCAGAGAUUUUUUACGGAAUGACAAAAUGAUUGACAGUCUACAAACCAAAGCGCAAUUUCUAUCGAUUUUCAAUCUGAAUUACCAAAGUGAAGAGUUAUGUUAAUCUCAUAGAUUAUUUUGAUUAAAAAAAUUAAUAGUUCUCUAAUUCGAUAUUAUCUACACUACGAGUGGGAGAUUUAGUUAAAUCUCAUAAUGGACUAGUCAUAUUUCGAUAUUCUACACAAACGAGUGAGGAAGUGUACUAAACCUCACAACAAGUUAGUCAUAAUAAUUCAACAAAAUUUAACAUAACACAUUUUUCUUACAAAUGAAAACAAAUACAAAUAAACUGUAGUUCUAAGCAAUGGCUGGUACAAAUAUUUGUGAUAACCUAAUCAACAAAUAAGACUUUCUUUUACCAAAAAAAAAAAAAAAAAAACAAGUAAGACUUUCCUUCCAAAGAAGAAAAAAGGAAUAUUCGAUCUGAUUCCAUAUCAAGAUUCAUGGGGGUAAUUACGCGAAAUAUGUUUCCUGAUGGGGUUACAACGCUAAUCUUAAUUAAGCUCGAAAUUACUCAACUACCUACCCCAACUUGAAUCGACGUGGGACCCAACUGAUGGAUAAAGAGGACGAAUCCACGUCAAUCUGACUCUGCAUGCCGUGGAAUCGAUUCAGCAGUCCCCUCACAUCCGUUGAUUCUAAUGUAGGUGGUCCCUACACCAACACCAUCGCGCAUCUUGCACUCCACUUGAUAUUCGGCUGGUUUAGUAGUUGACAUUGUGUUUAAAUGAUAUUUCUCUUCGUAAUAAUUGUAAAAAAGAAGUUUUAAAUUGAACUUGCAUCGUUGAUGAGGCGAAUUUAAAAAUAGAUUUAUUUUAUAAAUAAAAAAUUUGACUGCUUUCAAGUUCCAAAAAGCUAGGCGAAAAUUUAUCUCGAAUGUUAUUUUGUGGUUGAAAAAAUAUAAACUGGUUAGGCUUCCAAAAUCGAGAAGGGCGUUCAUGGCACACAAUAACGGUUGUUGUUUAAAAUAUCAAUAUAUCGAUGUCAGUUAUCUUUGAUAGAAUUCAUGGUAAUUUAUAAUGCGAUGAGUGUUUAAACUUAUUCUUAUUUAGUCAAAAUUAGAGAAAAUUUUCUUUAAAAGUUCAAAAGUUUUAAAUCUGUAAUGGGUUCCGGUAAAAUUUAUGUACUGAAUCAUAUAUCUCGCUGAUAUAUAGUUAGGCAUUUCACUUUCUCUUUCCAUAUUGAUCCUAAUUUUUCGAAUAAGCUGCAUAUGAAGCCAAUUUAGGAAUGACAUUUGAGAUGCACAAAGUAGUUUCUCUCAAGAGGAGAUACCAAUCCCAAUUCAAACAAGAGACGCAUGUAUCCAAAAGUGUGUUUGUAACUAAUGGGAAUAUUCUUGAGAACAAAUCGCUCCGUCCAAAUCCAAAUUCUUGGGGUGUGACAUUCAUACCAUCACGUUAUACUAUUAAUUUAUGGAUUAUAACAUGCGUAGAUGACAUAAUUAUGAUAAAUAUACACGUAUUAUGAUAAGAAUGAAUUAAUUUCUCCACGUAAUAAUGUGACAAUUACAAUGAAAAUUUCCUAUAAUUAUCCAAAAUACACGUUAAAUGAUAAAUAUAUACACGUGUUAUGAUAAGAAUGAAUUAAUUUCUCAAUGUAACAAUGACAUUCACGAGGAAAGAUUUCAGAAUAAUUCAAGAUGCACGUUAAAUUAGGUUCCCCAGGACACGGCUGUGACAACCACUACUUGGCCAUGUGAGAUAGAUUCUAUAAACUUACAGCAGGUGAUCUUGCAGCUUCACAGGCUUCCUAAACUAAUAUAAAUACCACCCCGUAGCCACUCUAUUUUCAUCAAGAAAUCAAACAAGUCCGUUCAUUCCGUUUAUCCGUGCCUUUUGUAUUAUCUGUGUCUAUUUUGUUAGGAGAAGUAGUAGUUUGUGCCUUAGAAACACACUUUAGAAAAAACAGAGAGUAAAAAAUGGGUAAGGGAGGCCAAUCCUGCAAUGGCGUGGUUAGAGACGCCAAACCUGUUGAGCAGGAAAACAUGGCUGUCUGGCUAGUUGAUGUUAACACCAUCAAGAUCCUACCUUUCAAGCUCCCCGCUAUUGGUAUGUACUUAUCUCCCUACUUUUAUUUUCAUCGCUAGUUUUUUUUUUCGGUUUUUGAUUAUCAGUUUUCAAGUUUCGUUGAAGUAUUGGCUAACAUCUUGCUCUCCUGUUUAUUGGGAUUUCUUAAUUUUAGGACC